GGAAGAAGAUGGUGCUCCAAGGCCUCCAAGCAAGCUCUUCUCCUCUCCUUCUCCUUCUUCUCCUUCCCUUUCUCUCUCUAGAAGUGUAGGAAGAGUGUGAGGGAGAGAAAAUGAGAGUGAGAGGGGAGGAGAGGCUGCUUAUAGCCUCUAAAGUAACAAAAUCCACAUAGGCCCCUCAAAAACUCAAAUUUACAUCAGCCCGGUCUGGGCAGUUUUCGCCCAGAGGGACCGGUCUCCCCGACCUGGGACCGGUCUCUCAGCCUGCCCCCGAAGAUCCAACGUUCGGGAACCGGUCUUUCCCUGCGCGGGACCGGUCUCUCCCCGCGCAGAUGUGCUCGGGGACCGGUCUCGACUGCCAGGGACCGAUUGCCUUGCCGGCCACGCAGCACUGUUCACUGGGGGGACCGGUCUCUCCUAUCAGGGACCGGUCCCCGAGAGUAAAAACUCUUAGGACUCUGCCAAAACUCUCGAGAUCGAACUUUUAGACCGGUAUACCAUCAACGGCCCUCCACCAAGUGUGGAAAAGUUCGAAAUACAAAUCGAACACUCGAACUUCGCAAUUUGCACAGGUUCAGUGUGUUACACCAUGUGAGGAUACCGUACGAACUAGGGCCAACAUUUACUCCGAACUUAUCUAUUCUGACAUUCAUGCAUAAUUACUUAGCUAUACUAAGUUCAUUGUUCUCAAGUCAUUCACGAGAGAAUCCAUCUAUCCCUAAGUUCAUGAACCUCUAGUGUCAAGUACACUACAUUAAUGCCACUCUCUAUGUUCUUUUAAAUAUUUAGAUGCCACUCUCUAUUUCACUAAAUAACCAUCGAGUUCAUCUCUCCACUUUAGCACUAUAGGAUCCAUGUUCCGACCGAAUCCUUACCUAUCCAUUUCACCAAGUAUUCCAUGUACACUAGGUUAACAUUCAGAAGCAUAAGGAAAAGGUACUACAAUGCAAUCCUACAAUGCAACAUGCAAGAGAUGAGAUUAUAUGUUAUUCUAAGACAUAAUAAAGAGUUCGGUUGCUUCGGGAUGACACCCCCCACCUUUCUCGAUGUAGAGGUUCUAGCAAUGCUUCUCACCGAACGUUACGACGAGGUCUCGGCAUCCUUGGUCCAAAACGGUGCUCAAUCGGCUAUAUUUUGCCGAUAGCUUUUCAUCCGCUCGACGAAUCGUAAAUCUGACUUCGCCCCCGCGUUUAGACACCUAACAAUUAGGUUUACAAGCUACUAAAUAAGAUCAAUCUCAUCACUUAUCAAAGACCCCCAUUUGGAGCCCUGGGUUUGCACCUAUAGCUGUAACACAUUGGACCUUUGCAAAUUGCGAGGUUCGAGUGUUUGGGUGUAUUUCGAGCUUUUCCACACUUGGUGGAGGGUUGUAGAAUGUUUUCCGACCUAAAAAGUUCGAAAAUCGAAAUUCUGGAUAAGUCCUGAGAGUUUUACUCUCGGGGACCGGUCCCUGGAAGGAGAGACCGGUCCCCUAGUGAGCAGUGUUGAGGCAACCUGAAGCAACCGGUCCCUGGCAGGCGAGACCGAUCCCCGAGCGCGUCUUGGCAGUGAGAGACCGGUCCCGCGCAGGGAGAGACCGGUUCCCGAACGCUGGUUUUUCGGGUUCGCAGCGAGAGACCGGUCCCUGCUGGGGAGAGACCGGUCCCUCUGGGCGAAAACUGCCCAGACCGGGCUGUUGCAAUAUUGGAUUUUUGAGGGGCCUCACUGGAUUUUGUUACAUUAGAUGGGUUUAUUAGCUAUUUCCCUCUCUUCCCUCCUCAUUUCUCACCCUUACCCAACACCUUCUUGAGAGAAGAAGAAGAAGGAGGAGAAGGAGGAGAAGAAGAAGAGGAGUUUGCUUGAGGGAGCUUGGAGCUCAACCCGUUUCUCUUCUUUCCACCCUUGCUUGGCUUGGAGCUUGCUUGUAGAGCUUGGUGGUGGACCAAUCUUCAACCCUAGAAGAUUUGGAGCUUGUUUGGAGGCAUCUUGGGUGGUUAGUACUUGGACUCUACCCUUUGAUCCAUGAUUUGGUAGGUUUUACCAUAUGAAACCCUAGUUUUGGGACUUAGGGUUUAUUUUGGGCUUUUUGAACCUAGGGCUUUUAAGGCUUGAUUGGUUGGUUUAGAACCUUCUUAGGGCUUGGAUUGGAAGGGUUCUAGCUCUAUUUUGGAGUUUAGGAGAAGAUUUCUACUCUUGAGGUAAGUUGCGGCCCUUUUGCUUCUAGGUUAAUGUUUGAUAGUGUAAGAUGGUCGUAAUGCCCUCGUAUCUCUUCGCUGAUCACUUCUAGGGCAUUUCGAGACUCGGGGACAACUUUGUUUGGCGAGACGAGGCUCUACGCGACGGUUCGGUGGGUUUGACCUAGCCUACAUAGGAGAAAUUCUCAUAUAUGGUUAUAUAUGCUCCGUAAAAUGGAAAAGCAUGCAUAUUCAUCCUAAUUGUAUUUAUUAUGAUUUUUAGAAUGCUUAAAAUGCAUAUGUUACAUAUGGUGAAAUUUUGGGCCUCUAUGUAAUAGAGAGUUGCUUGGGAGAUCUAUGGUUGCAUUUAGCAUUCUUUAUGAGACUUGGUUCCAUGCUUCUAUAGUGUAAAUGAGUUCGUGUUCAUGCAUUUAAACUUAAGUUAGCUUGUAACAUGAAAGAUGACAAAUUGCCAUUUAGAAGGUAUGUGAACUAGUGAGCUAAUGUCGUCAAGCGGCAUUGAGCUCGGGGCAUGUGAGAACCUAGUGGAUAGGGCCAUUGAGGGUUUUGGUAAACACGUUGAACAUCAAAUUGCCUAAGUGUCAUCAAGGGGCACUAGGCGUAGCAAAUGUUGAAACUUCACAUUGUGACUUAAACUAGAUCUUCGGGAUGCUAGUGACUAUACCAUGUUAGAGACAUGAGGAUUGGAUACUUGAGACUUGGACUAUGCUUGCUUGCCAUUUGUGCUCAUUCGCACAUGCUUGUGAGGGUCGCUCCCUACAAGCCGGCACUCCGGAGUUAGCCCACGCGACUUAUGUUCGCUCGUCCGGUAUUGAGAAGCCUACGGGGUCGAGUGGGACAGACACAUUCCAAGAGUAGGGAUGUUGGGCUACCACAGGCACUUAGGCGGCACAAGCUGGACUACCUUGGGUAGGUCCCUAAUUGGAAAUGGAAAUCGACACGGUUUGAGAAUGAACAAUCACUACUAGACAGGUUUAGUAGUUGGAUUACAUUUACAUGCAUAUAGCCUAGGGUUGAGACGUGUAGUAUACUUGACAGUUACCUAUUUCAUCACAGUAUACUUGGUUGCCAUGAUGGAGCUUAUACAUCAGGUAUGAAUAAAGGUUUGAAACAGUAAACUAUUGCCAUUGGUCACUUUUCCUUAUGAUAGAGUAGAUGUACAACACUUCGUCAUCGUGCUUAUGUGAGAUAUAGUAGUAUAGCAUUUUACUUAUGCUCUCUCUUUCAGCAGUUUAUUUACAUGCUCCUUUUUAUUGCUUAUUGCUAUUAGCGUUACUUACUCUUGUUUUUGGGGCCUAGUGGAGCAGGAGCUGAGGUCAGUAAUUGCCCACUGGGAACUAUAAAUUAUAGUUCUCACGCCCUCUUUUUCUCGAUAUUUUUCAGAGCCUUCCACACAGGGUGAGGCCAGGGAUCGCGGAAAGGGUAUCGCCUCGGGCUAGCGUGCUUACCGAGGGAUCAUUUGCUAGGUGGUCUAUCUCUCGAUAUUUACUUUUUGGCGAGAGGUUGAGGGUUGUACCGGUGUACUAGAGACCACCAUUUUUGUACUAGAGACUGAUAUUGUACUACUUAUGAUUUCUUUUAUUGUCUAGCUUUACUUAAUUAUCUUGGUGUAGAUGUUAGAACUUUACUCGCUCUGAUUUUAUUAGUUGCUAGUUAUUUCACUUCUUUUAUUUGUUCUAUCUCUUGCUUUACUUCCGCUUUUAUUGUAGAUGCCUUAUAUGUGUAGACAUAUGGCGGGUCUGGGCACGCUAACCGGGAGGGCCUCCGCCGGUCCCGGGGCGUGACAAUAGCAAACCACCAAUAAAUCCCUAGCUUCUAGCUUUAAUCCACCAUUAGUGGUGCUAGAGGUCCAUUUGACCUCAUCUCAAAAGCCAAAAACCCAAAAACCCUAGAUUUACAUGUUAGGGUUUAGUAGCUUACCUCUUGAGCUACACCAAAGAGAUGAAGAGGGAGAGAAGAAGGUGAUGGAGAUGAUCUCCUCCAAGCUCUCCUUCUUCUUCUUCUUCUCCUCCUUGCUUUCUUCUCUUCCUUCUUCUCUUUACUUUCUAGAAAGAGAGAGAAGGAGAGAAUAUGAGAGAGUGAUGGAAAUGAGAGACCGGUCUCUCCAUGCCUGGGACCGGUCCUUUGGGACCUUCCCAAGUUUACGCAUUCGGGAACCGGUCCCUCCAUCCCGGGGGACCGGUUGCCUCGCGCGCUGCCGCAAUCCUCAGUUCGGGGACCGGUCUCUCCCUGCCAGGGACUGGUCCCCGAGAGCAAAAUCUGUCAGGUGCAGAUUUUCAUGUUUCUUACUCUCGUGGACUCAACUACAAAGCACUUUUUGUGUUUUGGAUACCUUUAGCUUUUCCAAAGGAUACCCUCUCGACAAAUAGUCGAUUCUGGACGAAGUCCAACUCUCGGAUUUCGAGAAUUCACUUCCUUACAUCCUCCCCUCCUUAAAAAGAGUUUCGUCCUCGAAACUAACUCAAUUCUUGACUUUAACUUAAACUCAUACCUUAUUCCUCAAACAAGUAAGGAUGAUGCUUUCUCAUCAGAUCCUUGAGUUCCCAGGUGGCCUCGCUCUUCACCGAAUCUUCACGUAGGGAAUCUCGCGAUUUCUCUGUUUUCGCACCUCUUGAGCAAUAACCAUCAUCGGAAACUCCUCGUAGCUCAAGUCUUCUAGGAGUUCCGGCGGCUCGUAUAGCAUCGCGUGCUCAAGGUCAUGAAUGUACUUGCGAAGGUUGGAGACAUGGAACAUAUUGUGUACAUCCGCGAGCAUCGGCGGCAAGGCAAGUCGAUAGGCCACCGUGCCAACUCGCUCCAAUAUCUCGUACGGUCCAAUGUAUCGGGGACUUAGCUUUCCCCGCACUCCAAAUCGCUUCACACCUCGCAUCGGUGAAACCUUCAAGAAUACGCGGUCACUUACUGCAAAUUCUAUGUCUCGACGGCGCCUAUCUACAUAGCUUUUUUGUCUCGACUGCGCCGUGAGCAAUCUCUUGCGAGCAAGGCGGACUUUCUCCUCCGCUUCUCACAACACGUCUGGGCCGAACUCUGCACGCUCACCCACAUCUCUCCAGUGUAUAGAAGACCGACACUUCCACCCGUAGAGGGCCUCAAACGGUGCCAUCUCUAUACUAGUGUGAUAACUAUUGUUGUAGGCGAACUCGGCCAUCGGCAAACGAUCACACCAACUUCCUUUGUAGCCGAUGACACACGCUCGUAGCAUAUCCUCCAGAGUUUGAAUGGUCCUUUCGGUUUGCCCAUCUGUCUGAGGAUGAAAUACAGUACUAAAAUCGAGCCGCGUGGCAAGGGCUUCCUGCAGGCUCUUCCAAAAGUGUGAAGUGAACCGGGGGUCGCGAUCCGACACGAUUGAUUUCGGUACCCCGUGCAUUCUCACUAUCUCAUCAAGGUACACCUGCGCCAACUUGUCGCCUGCCCACGUGGUGUAGAUCGGCAAAAAGUGAGCCGACUUCGUAAAUCGGUCCACAAUUACCCAAAUUGCAUCGUGGCCGCCAGUUGAACGAGGCAAGCCGACCACGAAGUCCAUCGAUAUAUCUUUCCAUUUUCAAAUAGGGAUUGGUAGGCUUUGAAGCUUUUCCGUUGGAAAUCGACGCUCCGCCUUCACUUGGUGGCAUACUUAGCACUUGGCCACAAAGCGUCCAAUAUCACCCUUCAUUCCAGGCCACCAGUAGUGCAUUUUCAAUCCUUGAUACAUUUUGGUGCCGCCCGGGUGAUCGGCAUAUGGAGACCGAUGUGCUUCUUGUACGAUUAGCUCGCGAAGCUCUCCAUUUUUGGGCACACACCACCGGUUUCGAAACCGAAGUGCAUCACCGGCGUCUACCAUGAAAUCGCCGCCACGACCAUUCUCAAUGUCGCGCCACACCUUUCUGAGUUCUAGGUCCGCGGGUUGCAGAUUUUUGAUCCUCUCCAACAAGGUCGGUUGGACAAUGAGUGUCAUUAAUUGAGCUGGAAUCUCCGGAGUAACCACCUCAAGGUUCAUUCGCUCCAUGUUAAGCCAUAGGGGUGUUUGAUUUGUAACCCAUAUAGCGAGGUUCUCUGCGGACUUUCUGCUCAGUGCAUCCGCGACCACAUUCGCUUUCCCCGGGUGGUAAAGGAUGUCAACAUCAUAAUUCUUUAAUAGUUCCAACCACCAUCGCUGUCGCAUGUUGAGCUCUUUCUUUGUGAACAGAUACUUUAGGUUCUUGUGGUAAGUAUAGAUCUCACAAUGGGCACCGUACAGGUAGUGCUUCCACAACUUCAAGGCAAAGAUUACCGCCGCUAGCUCCAAGUCGUGAAUGGGGUAGUUCUUUUCAUAGCUCUUCAGUUGACGAGAUGCAUAAGCAAUUACUUUCCCGCCCUGCAUCAAAACACACCCCAAUCCUAGAUAGGAAGCGUCGCUAUAGACCACGAAGUCUUCACCUUGCACUGGUAGAGCGAGCACCGGAGUCGAAGUUAAUCUUUGCUUCAACUCUUUGAAACUCCGGUCGCACUCCUCGCUCCACACGAACUUGGUGCCUUUUUGAGUCAGAAGGGUAAGUGGAAUUACUAUCUUUGAAAAGCCUUCAACGAACCGCCUAUAGUAGCCCGCCAAGCCCAUGAAGCUUCGAACCUCCGUGACAUUCAUCGGGCGUGGCCAAUCCUUGAUUGCCUCAACUUUCCUUGGGUCUACGGAAACUCCACCUGCAGAAAUCAUAUGCCCUAGAACUGCGACUUCUCGGAGCAAGAAGUUACACUUCUUUAACUUAGCAUACAACUUCUGCUCCCGAAGGACUUGAAGCACUAAUCUUAAAUGCUCGGCAUGUUCCUCGUCACUGCGAGAAUAGACCAAUAUGUCGUCUAUGAAGACCACGACGAAUCGGUCCAAAUACUUCCUGAAGACAUAGUUCAUUAAAUCCAUGAACGCUGUCGGAGCAUUCGUGAGUCCAAAUGGCAUGACCGUGAAUUCAUAGUGCCCGUAUCGGAUGCGAAACGUACUUUUCUGCACAUCCUCCGGCUUGAUCUUCAAUUGGUGAUAGCCGGACUGCAAAUCUAUCUUCGAGUACAUACACGACCCCUGCAACUGAUCAAACAGGUCAUCGAUUCGGGGUAGUGGGUACUUGUUCUUGAUCGUGACUUUGUUCAACUCUCGAUAAUCCAUGCAGAGUCGGAACGAUCCAUCCUUCUUACAUACAAACAACACCGGGGCUCCCCACAGUGAUACACUCGGCCGAAUAAACUGCUUGUCGAGAAGAUCUUGCAACUGACUCCUCAACUCCUUCAGUUUCGCCGGCGCCAUUCGGUACGGAGCCUUCGAGAUCGGUGCGGUACCGGGAAUCAAGUCUAUAACGAACUCGAUCUCCCUGUCCGGUGGUAUCCUCGGUAACUCCGCGGGAAACACAUCCGGGAACUCCCGUACCACCGAUAACUCCUCCAAGGUUGGAGCCACUCGGUCCACUUCUACAAUAGUUGCCAAGAACACUACACAACCGCUGUUAACCAACUUUCUUGCUCUCGUCGCCGACACCGUCGCGGCGAAGAGAGCUCUGACAAGCUCGAUAAGUGUACUCCUUCUGUCCUGGCUCACGAAACGUAAUCACUCUGAUCUUGUAGUCGAUCGUUCCGUGAUAUUUCGAGAGCUAAUCUAUGCCCAAUAUGACAUCGAACUCUUUAAGGUUCUUGAGCUCUAGCAUCCUAAUGGGCAUUAUCCAGUCACCUACUUAUACUGGACACGAUGAGCAUUGUGUGUAGGUAUUAAAUGUCAACCCAGGGCCCUCAACUAGCCACUUGUCACUCGCCUCUAUGAGUAUGUCAUGCAUGCGUGUGAAUGAUCCACUGAUAAAUGAAUGCGUAGCACCAGUAUCAAACAUAGCCUUAGAGCGAAUUUUGUUAAUUAGAACCAUACCUGCCACAAGGCGAUGCUCCUCCGCCUCCGCAGGCUCCUCGGCUUGGACCUGAGCGGCGAAUACCCGUCCGCUCGGGGCUGGUCGUGCCAUCUCGGGCUGUCGUGGGGCCAUCGCGUGUCCUGUUGAUGCUGCCGCCCGUAGCGCUCCUCCAUAGUGAGCCGGAGCUGCCGGCGCUGACGCAAUAGACGGAGUAGGUGAAGCUCCUCCUCCUGGGCUAUCCCGUAUGAAGUGCUCCGGUUGUCUGCACUUGUAGCACUUGCCUUCGCGCUGCUCACAACGUGACACCAGGUGGUCUACACCACAUAUGAUGCACCGUCGCGCUCCAUGGCCCUUUUGCUGAGUCCGCGGAUACUUCGGGGGCUUCUUGGAACUUGCUUGUCCCCCCGAACCGCCACCUUGGCGCUUCUUGCCUUUAUCUUUGGACUCGGCCAACAUCUCGUGCUUCUCUCGAACAUGGGCGUCUCCGUGCUCCGCCCAAAGUGCUCGAUCGAAGACCUCCGCGAAGGUCGUGAGCUUGAGUAUCUGCACGGCCUUAUAGAUCCCCGGCCGAAGUCCUCUCAAGAACCAAUCGGCCUGGUCCCGGUCAUCUCGUAUCACAUCCGGGACACAGUCGAUGAUGUGGGAGAACUCCUGCUCAUACUACGCCACUGAGCUGUCCCCUUGCUCCAACUUGCGGAACUUCUCCUGGCGCUUCCACUUCAACGUAACGGGGAAGUAAUUAGCGAACAUCGUCAUCUUGAACUCCUCCCACAACAUCGGUGGAAGAUCAGAAGGCCGAUCUCGCUUCACGUGCUUCCACUACACCUUUGCCGCCUUCUCUAAGCAGUUGGUUGCAAGAUACACCUUAUCCCUCUCCAAGGUUCGUAAGUCCUCAAAGAGUGUAACACACUCGACCUAUGCAAAUUGCGAGGUUCGAGUGCUUGACUUGGAUUCCGAGCUUUUCCACACUUGGUGGAGGGUUGUAAAUGGUAUUCCGACCUAAAAGUUCGAAAUUCUGGAUUUUGGCUAAGUCCAGAGAGUUUUUACUCUCGGGGACCGGUCCCUGGUGGGAGAGACCGAUCCCCCCGGAACAGUUUUGCAGCAGACUUGAGGCAACCGGUCCCUGGCAGUGAGAGAUCGGUUUCUGAGAGCAGAUUUUUGUGGGAGGGUCCUAAGGGACCGGUCCCAGCUGGGAGAGACCGGUCCUUCUGGGCGAAAACUGCCCAGACCCGGGCAGUGCACUAUUUUGAUUCUUGAGGGGCCUAAGUGGAUUUUGUUGCAUGAGAGGGCUUUUAGGCCAUUUCCUCUCUCUCUUUCCCUUACUUCUCACUCUUUCACACUCUAGAAAGAGAAGAAGGAGAAGGAGAAGAAGAAGAAGAAGAGGAAAAAGGAGAGCAAGCUUGAAGGCUUUGGAGCACCUUCCUCUCCCUCAUUUCUCACCAUUGGAGGCUUGGAGCUUGGACUUGGAGCUUUGUGGAGGAUCAAUCUUCAACUCUUAAGGAUUUUGAGCUUAGUUUGGAGCAUCCUAGAGGUAAGUGACUAGCUUCCUUCCUCUAGACCCUAGUUUUGGAGUUUUACACUAGAUGAAACCUUUGAUUUGGAUUUUAGGGUUUAUUUUCGGGAUUUUCGAUUUGAGGGCUUUGGAACCUAAUUGAUCGACUUUGAACCUUUGUUAGGUUGUAUUGGAAGGACUCUACUUCCCAUUUGGAGAUCAAGAGAGUUUCCUUCGCAUUCGGUGAGUUUUUCUCCACCUUAGCUUGAGAUGGUUAAUGAUCAACCUUAGGGUUGUUCGUAAGGUUCGUUUAACUCUUGUUCCUACAUCUUUAGGGUGCUAGGAGACUAGUGAACACCUUUGUCGGAGCAAACGAAGGAGCGCAAGACUUGUGGUGGGUUUGACUUUAUGAAAACGGGGCAAAAUGGCCCCUAUGCUUCCUAUACUUAUCGUAAAGUCUUUUUGAAUGCAAAUCCAUGCUAGAUAGGAUUUAUGUGAAUUUUAGAAUACUUAAAAUGCAUGUGCUAUGUGUAAGAUAAAUUUCACUCUAUAUAGUAGAGCAUACUGGGUAAAUUUUCAUGCAUGUGAGAAGUGUUCGAGAUAGUAAUGGGAAUCAUGUCUCUUAUGAUAAGUUAACUCAUAAUUGUGUAAUUGUAAACACUACACUAUGAUUGGACUUAGUGAAUAAAGUGUCAUAAAGGGGUACUUGACUUAGUAACUAUGAAACUGCUAUAAUGAGACAUAGCGAUAGGCCAUUGAUAUCUAUUACUUCCAUGUUUUAGACAUGAUGACUUAGAGAUAGGCCAUUGAGAUAUGUGAUAUAUUCCAUGUUGUUAGACAUGAGGACUUGGUACUUGAGACGGAUCUUACGUUACUUGCCAUUGUGCUCAUUCGCACAUGCUUGUGAGGGUCGCUCCCUACAAGCUAACACUCCGGAGAUAGCCAUCGCUAUACAUAUUCGUCGUGCGGGAUUGGGCGCCGAAGUGGAUUGCCGUGGGCUAGGCUCAUCCCUAGGGUGGGGAUGUUGACUACCACGGGGCCAUUAGGCUCGGCACCGGCCAGACAGCCUACGUGUGGGUCUCAGGGCCAGACAGCCUUCGGGCGGGUCUCUUCAGAUUUGACUUUGAGCAUUCAUUAUAACAUGUGGACAUUGACUAGAAUAGUAAACUAGACAUUUUACUAUUACAUUGUGGACUUUAUAUUGGUUGCAUAUUCGCUCAUAUUCUUGGUAGAAUAGCUUUCUUACUUAUGCUAAAUUAUGCUAAGCAGAGAUAUCUUGUGGUAGCAAAUAUUCAUGUUUAUUCACCUGUUGUACAUAUGGCUCUUACUCCUAUUUGUUAACUGACCUCUUUUUGUAGCUUCUCGGCCUAGUGGCGCAUUUCACUAAAGUCAGUAAUUGCCCACUGGGAACUAUUAUUUAAUAGUUCUCACGCCCCUGUUUCUAUGUUUCUUUUUAAGAGCCUUCGGCACCGGCGGAGGCACGGGAUCGCGGCAAGGGUGUCGCCUAGCUUGAUAGAUAGCGGAGCUCGCUUUUGCUCUAGGUGGUUACUCUCUUUUUGUGUUUUUGAGAGAGAGAGAUUUUGUACCAUGUAUAGAGACCACCUAUGUACCUGAUUUAGCUCUUAUAUUUGAGACUCCUAUUGUAUUACUUUAUAUUUUUACAUAUACACUUCAUUCAGGAUCGACUAAUUGUCGAAUGGAAUGGCCUUGGGAGGGCCAAAGAUGCCUCAAGCACCAAAAGUGCAUUGAGGUUGGAGUCCACGAGAGCAAAUAAUGCAAAUUCUGCACUUGGCAGGAUUUUGCUCUCGGGGACCGGUCCCUGGUGGGAGGGACCGGUCCCCGUAGCUGUGGGUUGCGAGCGAGGCCAAUGCAACCGGUCCCUGGCCAGAGGGACCGGUUCCCGUAAGCUCCCAAGCCUGGAAGGCUCUCGGGGAUCGGUCCCUAGCGUGAGGGACCGGUUCCCGUACGCGUCACCCGGGGAGGGGCUCUCGGGGACCGGUCUCUGGUCGGGAGGACCGGUCCCUCUGGGCGAAAAAUGCCGAGUAAGAGGCAGUGCACAGGGACAAGAGUGAAGGGACUUAUUGAGAUAUUAUUACAAUAUGAGGAGCAUAGGACCCCUCCUCUCUCUCAUUCCCUCUCAUUUCCCCCUCACUCUCUCGCACUCUUUCUCCCUCUCUCUCUCUAGAAAGAAAAGAAGGAGGAGAAGGAGGAAGAAGAAGGAGAAGAAAAGAAGAAGGAAAAUGAAGGAGAAGAAGAAGGAGAUCAAGCUAAGAAGCCUUUUGGACCUCUCCCUCUUCCUCUCUUCUCUCUUUGGAGCUAACCUAGAGGUAAGCUUCCAACCCUAACUUGUGAAACUUAGGGUUUUUGAGUUUUGGCUUUUGGGAUGAGGCCAAAUGGACCUCUAGCACAAUGAAUGGUGAGAUUGAAGCUAGAAACUUAGGGUUUUGAGAUGGGUUUAGCUUGGUGCUAAUCCUAUGGCACCAAAAUGCGGUUUCUGGAAAUAAUGAGGAUUGAUCUCAUUUGACUCUCCUCUAACCUAAUUGAUAGGUGCCUAAAUGUGAGGCGAAGUCGGAUUUUUCAUUCGCCGAGCGGGUGAAAAGAUAUUGGCAAAACAAGACCGACCAAGCUUCAUUAGGACAAAGAAGGCUAAAGCCCCGUCGUAAAGUCCGUUGAAGGGCGUUUCUAGAACCUUCAUACCCUCAAGGGGUGGGGGGUGUCUACCCGAAGCAUCCGGGUUUCCUUUUAUGUCUAAGUUAUAUAUAUGCUUGAUCAUAUUGCAUUAUAGGAUUAGUAGAUAGUUGUAAAUUCUAAUUCCUUGCAUGCUUUUUAGUAGUGUAACUAUGAGUUGGACACAUAGACUAAUAAGGUAGCAUGAGGAUUGGGUCUUGUGACAUGGGAAUCCUAUAAUGGCAUAAAGAACCGAACUUGGACAUAUGAUAGCCUAGUAGAGUGGCAUUGAAAUAGUGUGGUAGAAGCACUAUGGCAUGAACAAGUAGCAUUGAGCUAGUGCAGUAGAAACACUAAACAUGAACGAGUGGCAAGUAGAAUAAUUGAGACAUUGACUACAAUGACUGAACGAGUGGCAUCGAGUCUAGUGUAGUAAACAAGUCAUGGUUCUUGGGAUAGUAGAGAUCCCGGCAUCUAGGAUGCAUUGUAUACUGUGCAGCAGAGGCACUAUGACCCUUGUAGAUAGGGUAUCCUCUUGUGAAGAUUGGAUCAUACUCACUUGUCUGUUUGGCUUGUCGGUGGUCGCUCCACCGAGGCACGAGUCUCCGGAGUACUUCACUAGGGGCAGACGCAGUUGUCCCGCAGACAGUCUCGGUGUGCGAGUGCAGCUUCUCCUCACCUCUGAGAUUGAGAGUGAGUCGAGGGCAUAACCUACGGGUUAGCCAAGUAGAUUGGGUAAUAAACAUGAAAUGCAUAGUAGACUUGCAUUAUUACCUUGAGUAGACAUAGUGUAUGAUGUAGAUUGCAUUGCUAUGUACGUUUCUAUACUCAUGACAUAAUACUAGUAUGAUAGUAGUUGUUGCAUGCAUCGUUAUUAUUGGUGGCAUGAUAGAGUAGUUGCAGUUCAUUUCUCUAUAUAUCUAUCUAUCUCUCUAUCUGUGCCAGUUUAGACCUAGUAGGAAAACCGGCGGAGUCAGUGGCCGAACCCAUUGAGAACUAUAUUUAUAUAGUUCUCACCCCAUGUGGUUUUGUCACGCCCGGGUACCAGCGGAAGCAUAUCCGGUCACGUGCACAGACCCGCCGUGUAUACCACCACUCAAGUAUACACAAGGCGUCUACAAACCAUAUAGUGAAAGCAUAUAAUUCUAACCAGGUAACCAGAGCACGACUUUUAAACUUAUACAAUCUAAACCUUAAUACAAGAAAGAAAAAUAAAGUACAAUUUACAAAAACACUUAAUAUACAUCUCUGGACUAAACUACAUAAACUGGUGGAGGUCGUCUAGUACACGUCCAAAAGGCUCUAGCUAGCCGCAGACCCCUCGCCAAGAACCCUAGCCUUUCCCGGGGUGGAAGGCUCUGUAAAAACAACAACAAAGAGGGCGUGANUCCAUUUCUAGUUACUUACUUACUCUAGUAACUUAUCAAAAAACCUUUCAAUAGUCUUGCAAAAGUCGUAGACCAGUUCCAAAAGCCGAUCCAACCCUCGAACUUACCAAGAGGCUCAAGAUUCAGUAUAUUACAGGUUUUGGGGUACAGGUACACACAGGUGCGCGCCGAGUGAGGAUCGCGGCAAGGGUAUAGCACCCUAAGUGAGUUAGCUAGUAACUUUCCUUAUGCAUUAGAGUACCCUCGUGUACUAAUAGAAGAUGUAUAUUUUGGACAGAUAUCGGAGAGCUACUUGUAUUUGAGGAGAACAUGUAUUUAUAUUUUGGAAGAUGAAAAUAUAAUGUAAUCAAAUGAUGUAAAAGUUGAAUGGUUGUAAUAGAUAGAUGUUUCUCUCUUCAUACACUUGUAUUUUACUUGUGGUUCUUGCUCUUAGUUGGAUAGCACUUGUGUACUUUUAGUCGAUCAUGUAUGUAUUGAAUUCAUUGUCCUGAGCAAAUUCUUGUACAUGUUCUGAUUGCUUAGCCUUGGGCAGACAGUCGAGGUGCUGUCCGUUCGGCGUCUGUUCGACGCCACCGAACCGGACCAAAUUGGUAGCAGUUUCGGGGCGUGACAUUUUAAUAUUAAAUAAGAAGAAAAAAAACACAGAAAAAUUAGAGUUUGUGUUUCUCCAUUCUUCCUUCAAUUUCUUCAAGAUUCAUCCGUAUCGCUUCCAUCCCUUAUUAUUCCUAAAUUUGUCAACAUCAACUGACUAAGACCAGUUAAGGUUAAUAGGAAUUCACCCAUAGCCUCGUUGACAAGUUACUCGCAAUUUGUAUAUGUGCCUAAAACUAUGUCUGUCAUCUCUAGCCAUAAAAUAAACUUUUCUCCGUGUAGGCAUGGGGAAAGGAUGGAAUAGAAUGACGAUCGAACCAGAAUGAAUGUAAAUAGAGUUGUAGACUGAUGUAGUAUUAGCUACACCGCUGUCUGCAACCACAAAUGACUCAUCUCGCACAAUUAAUUUUUUUUGCAGUUCUGUGUUGUAAUAUUCAUGACUUGGAGUAUGAUUUAAAUAUGUAAAGGUUUCAGAUAUUGCAGACACAUGGCUUCUAGUGGAUGCAAGUAUCUAUUGUAAAUAAUUCCCAUAAAAAGUUAAGACACUUUCGAUUAAGAGAGCUCUGAAAUACUUAUAAUGAAAUAGAGUGAAAUCAAAUGAAAGAUGAAUUUCAUACAUAUGUUGUUGCACAAUUACAAGGUUUAACCAAGGGCAUACCCCUAGUGUACAUCAAUAGAGCAUUAAUAUAAAAGAAAAAUAUUGAAUUUAACGAUAUGAUGGUCGAAUUGAGUUUGAUGUAUGUUUCAAGAUGCUGAGAUUGAUAAACUUACGCUCUAGAGGUAUAUAUUUUAGAGCUCAAUAUGUCCGCUCUAAAAUGUAGAAUUAACUAAUACUAAGUAUAUGUGUCAGGACUUAGUUGGAUUUGAGGUAAAUUAACUCUAUUCAUGUGUAUUAGAGUCUAAUUUGGUUUAAUUUAAAUUUAGUUUGAUUGAACUUUAAAGCUGCGUUUGGUUCGGUUAUAAGUAAGAACUGCUUAUUAUAGGGAUAGGUACAAGUUCAAAAUAUAAGCAGGAACUAGACCAAUUUUACUUUUGGAUGAAAAUUGGAUUGUUCCUAGGAAUAGGGUAAAUAGUAUUUGGAUAGUUAGAUUAGAACUAAGGGAAUACGAGUUAUAAUUUUAAAUUAAAAUUAUUAUCUAAUUAAUUAACAUCAAAAUAUUACUAAAAAAUAAUAAAUUAAUAAUAAUUACAAAUAAUAAUACAAUAAUUAAUAAUAAAUUAAAUAAUUAAUAUUCAUAAAUUAUUAAUAAUUAUAAAUAAUAAUUUAUUAAUAAUUAUAAAUUACAAAUUAUUUAAUUUGUCAUGCCCCGGAUUAUACAUUCUCCGGGCACGCCGACAAAUCCGCCGUAUACAAAGAAAUUUUUCCUGUAUANAAUAAUAAUAAUUAAUUAAUUAAUUAAUUAUAAUUAACUAAUAGUAAAUUAAAUAAUUAAUUAAUAAUUAAUUAAUUAAUUAAUUAUGAAGAAAUUAAUGAUAAAUUAGUUAAUUAUAAAUUCAUAAAUUAAUUAAUAAUUAAUUAAUUAUAAAUUAAAAAAUUAAGUAAUUAUUAAUAAGUAUAAAUAAUAAUAAUUUAAUUAAUAAUUAUAAUAAUAAAUUAAGAAUUAAAUAAUAGUUUAAAUAUAUUAAUUAAUUAAUUAAUACCAUAAUUAAAAUAAUUUUUAGACUUUAAUUAACCUUAUUCUCACAUGGGAACAAGCUUGUUCCAGAGAAAAGGUGGACCAGCAGUUCCAGCCUUACACCGACUUAUUCCAGAAACCCGAGAACUACUGUUCUCGAGUACCAAACGCUGCGUUUGGGAACAAAGGGGGGAACGAAGGCUUAUUCUCCCUCUUUGUUCCCGAACCAAACGCUACCUAAGGAUAUGUCUUAAGGCUCCAUUACAUAUGCUUCGAUUUCAUUCUAAGGUGAAACACGGCUAAAUCCUAAGUACAAAUGUUAGGACUAGUCAAACUUAAUUCAUAAUUAUACAUAUUACAUUCUAAAUUAAUUUGAUUGAACUCUCUCUCUCUCUCUAUAUAUAUACAUAUAGAUAUAUACUGGGGUCCAAUUUGAUUUGGUUUAAAUUUACCACAAGAUGAAAGAUGACUAAGUCUCAAGUAUAUGUGUAAGGACUUGAUUGGAUAUGAUUUUGUUGAGCCAAUUAGGCGCGGACAAGAUCGGUGCUGGUAUUCCCUUCAAAAGCAUCUAUUCGGUCGUGCAUUGGGAGCACCGGAAAAGUGUAAAGGAAAACAAAUCGCGCCAAUUGAAGGAAGUUACGGUAACCGCAAGCAGUUACAUGCGGUUCCGAUCGGCUAGAUAUGGUCCGGAAUAUGAUGAGAUAGUGGCCGAUCGUGUAAGAGCAAUAACUGACCGAAGGGGUUAUCUAUAAAUAGGGUAAUAAUACCCUAAAAAAAGGCCUUUUCCCCUGCGAACAAAAAACGACCCUUAUUUUCCUGCAUCUUUCUUUUCUGCAUUUACCGCUUUUCCUAGGAAUAGUUCCUGUAACUUAGCAUCCUGGAAUCUGUCUGCCCUUUGGGCAUCACUCCGCUGUAAACUAAACCCCUUUUUUCUGUACUUUUUUCGUUCUACUUCAAUAGAAGGCAAUGUUCGGCUCUUCAGGCCGACCAGUUCCUGUGCUGUAUUAGCCAUUUGGCUCAUUUCUUGGUCAAAAUUCUGGCUUCUCCUGUGCAUUCGGCUCAUCCAGCCGAACAGAAGAGAGAAUAAAGUUUACGGACCCGGUUGAUUGGAUCCCUCAUCGACCGAAUCGCUUGAUAGAUCAAAGGGCGCAGACUUCGAGGGUCAUCAUUCACAGCCGCUCAUCAACCCGACGCGUAUUCCGAGGACGGGAAAAUUCGGCUUCCAACAAUUUUUUGGCACGCCCGGUGAGACCCUAAUAUAAAGUAAAUUUACAUUCUAUAUAAAGUAUGGCUGACGAUAACUCCAUGAAUCUCCGUAAUAGGGCUAUUCCUAGAAAUUCUGGGAGUGAACAGCCCAGCAAUUCAAAGAAUGCUGUAGAGCACCAAGCAGUCUUACCUGCUGAAGGUGAGACCAGUGGUCAAUCUGGCCAACAAGAGCCUAGCCUGGCUCAAGCACUUGGACAAAUGACUCGGGUCCUGCAAGUUUUGGACCAAAAUAGUCAUGCAAGUACUGCACGGCUAGAUGCCGUAUUAGCCGCAAUCACGGCCUCUAAUGAGAACAUAGCCCGAAUAGGGCAAUUGUUGACUCGGAAUGAUCAACCAACAUUAGGUUUACAAACACCUAUGAUAGCACCAGUGUUACAAAAUCCUGCAACACCGGUGAAUGGUCAGCCCCAAUACCAGGGGGCACCAUAUCAAACGGCUUAUAGACCGACUGUAGUUAAUGCCGGUCAACAGCCAGAGAUAGCUUGGGGGCUGCCACCGCCUCCACCGGUAGCAGCGUAUCAGCCCCAAAAUGUAGGGGCUAGGGGGCAGGCUCCAAAUGCACAAGGGACUAAUCCCUUUGUGCAAAAUCUCGGUGCGCCACAACCAUCGAACCAAGCACCGGCGCAAGCCUCUUUACAGGGAAUUAAUAACGAGAUUUAUGCACAAAUAGAAGAAGCCUUCCGGAAUACUUUCGGAGUAGGCGCAAGGCCGGCAAUGCGGCCCGUAUUCAGGUCACCAUACCCUGCAAAUAUAGAUAUAGAACACCCAUAUCCGGCAAAUUGGAAGAUGCCGAAGUUUGACAAAUUUUUCGGCGACGAGACCAAAAAUACGGUCGAGCACGUCGCGCGGUUUACAGCUCAGUGCCAUGAGGCCGCGGUAGAUCCGUUUUUAAAGUUGAGGUUAUUUAAUACCUCAUUGACUAAGACAGCUUUCACUUGGUACACGAGUUUACCUGCUAACUCCGUCCGAGACUGGGACGAGUUAGAAGGUAAAUUUCAUGAGCAGUUUCAUAGAACGGAGCCAGAGCUAUCAGUUGCGGAUUUGGCUCAAUUCAAAUAAAGAACAGGAGAAUCGGUUGAUGAAUAUUUGAACCGAUUCAAAACUGCUCGAAGCCGUUGUUUCCUAAGAAUGCCGGAAUCGGAAUUUGCCAAAAUGGCAUUCAACGGCAUGCAUUUUAAAAUUAAAGAUCAUUUUGAGGAUAAAUUCUUUCCAAAUCAUUUUGAUUUGGGAGUUCGAGUUGCUCAAUACGAGCAAUUUCGAAAAGGUAACACUGAAGAUCGGCCCAGAUGGAGCCGAAACAAAGAUUAGAGCAAAGGAGAAAAAUAACUCGUUCCUUGAAGAGGCUUCGACUCAUGAACAGCCGAAUUCGUCUGAAGAGAAUGAGGAUUCGGCUGAUGAAGCCGAAAUCUGUGCUGCCGAGAUGGUGAGAAAUAAUCAACCGUACAAAUGUGCUUUGUUAAAACCCGCCAAAUCAAAAGAGGCGAAAGCACAUGUGUCUGUAUUUAGUUAUUCGUUUGAUAUAGCAAAGACCGAUCUGAUUUUUGAUCGGUUGCUAAAGGAUGGACGAAUUAAACUACAAGAGGGUCAAACUAUACCUCCAGUAGAAGAACUAAAACGCGGAAGAUAUUGUAAGUGGCACCAUUCAUGGAGCCAUAAAACUAGUGAGUGUACUACUUUCAAAAGGCAGAUACAAAAAAAGAUAAACGAAGGUCAGCUCAUCUUUGCCGAUCAAAAAAACAAAAAUAUAAAAAUUGAUAAGAAUCCUUUCCCAUCACAGGUCAACGCCGUGAACAUGAAAGGAAAAGAAAAAACGACUGCAAAAAGGCAGAUCCAAGAAGAAAUAGACGAGGGUCGGCUCAUAUUAGCCGACCAAGAAAAUGAAAAUAAGGUAAUUAACGGAAGUUCGUUUCCUUUUCAGGUCAAUAUGGUGAAUAUUAAAGGGAAAGAGACUGCGGACCAGGUGACCGCAGACAACGUGACACAUGCCAAAAAACAUCUUCGGCUUUGCAUAAGGUGCAAGGCCGUAAUGACGAAGAAAGAUUGGGAAGCCAUUGUCAAUGCCAAGAAAAGAGGCAACGAGUGGAAUGAGUUGAUAGCGUUCCCCGAGGAAUGGGAUGACAUUCCUGAUGGUGAAGAUCAAGAAGAAGAAGGCUCAGACGAGGCCUCCAAUGACACUGAACCGGAAGUCAAAUCGGUUCAACUCAAACAAGACAUGUUGAUGCAGAAGAUUCUGCAUGAUUAUUACAACAACAGGCGUGGUGAGUGUCAAAGCCGAUGGGACUACCAGGGUAGACCCUUCGGCACCAAGCUAAGAAUUCCUGGAUAUCGGCCACAUUGGCAGCAUCAAACGAUGCCGAGACCAGAACCGAAAUUCAAGGGAACGACCGAGGGAGACAUAGAAUUCCUCGGUUAGAGAUUAGUCAAUGAACUCGGCAUUCAGCCUUGGCCAAGACCUUGGGAGAGAAGAGAAAUUUUGAAAAACCAUUUGAAGACAGUGAAGGUACCGGUGAAUGUGCCAGUGGAUGAAUGGCACGAAGUUGAAGUAAAACCAUCGACCAGAUGACAAGGGCCGAUGUUAACAAAACUCAAAAGCGUCGGCAGCAGAGGAUGCAAGCCGAGGCAAGACAACAUUAUGAAGAAGCGAAAGGAAUGAAGCUCAACAUAUGGAGGCGUCCUAAUGAGCAUGUACACCCUUUUCGCCAAAAAAAAACCGACCACGAGGCAGGUGACUCAUCACCUGUCCCUUGGAUAAAGUCAAAAAUAGAACGGCCAAUUGAGGCCGAGUCCGAAGAAAAGAUGACCAGGAUGGAACUAGAAGAUAAAAUAGCCUCUCUUGAAAUGAUUAUUAAGAGAGAACGAUGGCCUCCAAAGGAAAGAGAGGUCCGCAUGGAGAGUGACUCUUCAACCGAAACGGCUAAGGAGUCAGAAGAGAAGAAACAGAGAAUUAAGGGAAAGUCGGCUGACGAGUCACCAGCCAAGGUGAAUAUGGUAUAUGCCCUACCUCAAUCUUUCAAGGCAGAGCUUGUCGAGUAUGAAGAGUUCAGAGACGAGGAAGAAUACGGGCUUAAAGUAGCUCAAUUGCAAUUGGAAGAUGUUCAACCGGCCGAUGCAGUGGUUUUCGAGAAACCAUCGGCUAUGCAGAUGAGAUUCAUAAGGCCUGUCUUUAUAAAGGCCUUAAUCGAGGGUCGGCCGGUAGGCCGAGUUAUGGUAGAUGGUGGUGCCAUGGUAAAUGUGAUGCCUACUUCUUUUUUCAAGAAGCUGGGCAAAGAUGAGGAUGAGUUGAAGCCCACUGACUCAAUCAUGACCGACUUCACCGAAAACGGUCAACAAGCUCGAGGAUUACUCACCACCGAACUCACGGUAGGCUCCAAAACUUUGAAAACUGCAUUUUUUGUGGUGGAUGCAGAUAUUCAAUACAAUUUAUUACUUGGACGAGAUUAGAUACAUUCGAAUGAGUAUGUACCCUCUACACUCCGCGGGAAACUGUUCCAGUGGAUAGGAGACAAGGUAGAAGAAAUCUGAGCCGAAGGACGGCCCCAAAUAAUAGAUGUCAACAUGGAGGACAUGGGCCACACCAAUUGGGCCGAUGCAGAUCCAGAUCAGAUUUCUUUUGUCAGGGUAAUAGAGGAGGGGAUUCAAUUAAUCCUUUCCAAAGAUGUCAAUGGUAUGGUGGUUGAUGAAGAGCCAUCAAGGUAGUUAAAAUAGAAUCCGAAAAAUUAAGAAUAGAGGCUUGUCAAGAGCCUCAACAGGAUAAGCCGAUCAACAAGAUCGGCUAUGAGGAUGAUUCGGCUGCCAUAGCCGAUGUGUUAACGCUCGACGACUCGGCUAAUAAAGCCGAAGAAGUUAUAAUAGAUUCGGUUUACAGGGCCGAAGAAGAAAGUCAAAUGAAGUCGGUCACCGAGACCGACAAGUCACACGAAAUGAAUAGGCAAGCAAACGAAUUGAAUCUAGAAGAAUCGCCUAUUAAAGUCGGUGAGAAAAAGUUGGAGACCCAAGAUUCGCUAAUCGAAGUAAAUUUGGGAUCCGACGAAGAUAAGAGACCGACAUAUAUAAGCGCAAAGCUUUCGGCUCGACAGCAGAAUGAGCUGAAAGAACUAUUGAAGGAGUACAAGGACUGCUUCGCCUGGAGUUAUGAAGAAAUGCCAGGUCUGAGCAGGAAAAUUGUAGAGCAUAGGCUGCCCAUUAAAAAAGGGUUUAAGUCUUUUAAACAAUCGGCUCGUAGGUUUGAGCCGAGUAUUGUACUCCAAAUUAAGAAUGAAAUAGUAAUUCUUUUGAAGGCCAGAUUUAUUAGAGCGACUCGUUAUGUCGAUUGGGUGUCUAAUAUAGUUCCAGUACGCAAAAAGAAUGGCAAACUUAGAGUUUGUAUCGAUUUUAGGAACUUGAACUUAGCCACACCUAAAAAAGAAUAUCCAAUGCCAAUAGCCGAUAUAUUAGUAGAUUCGGCUGCCAGUAAUGAAAUUCUGUCCUUUAUGGACGGACAUGCUGGUUAUAAUCAAAUUUAUAUUGCUGAGGGAGAUGUGGCUAAAACGACUUUUAGAUGCCCUGGUUCGAUUAGAACCUUUGAAUGGGUUGUUAUGCCGUUCGGCUUAAAGAAUGCCGGAGCUACUUACUAGAGAGCAAUGAAUUUUAUUUUUCAUGAUUUAAUCGGCAAGAUGUUGGAAGUAUAUAUUGAUGAUAUAGUCGUAAAAUCCAAGUCACAAGCCGAGCACUGGAUUGAUUUAAAACUCGCCUUUGGAAGAAUGAGAAAAUAUAAGUUGAAGAUGAACCCUUUGAAAUGUGCUUUUGGAGUUUCAGCGGAAAACUUCUUAGGAUUUUUAGUGCAUAAAAAAAGGAUCGAAAUUGAUAAAAAUAAGGCGAAAGCGAUAUUAGAAUUACCGCUACCAAAGUGCAAAAAGGAACUGCAAAGUUUGUUGGGAAAGAUUAACUAUCUUCAGCGGUUUAUAUCUAAUUUGGCCGGAAAGAUAGGGGUUUUUACUCCAUUACUUUGGCUAAAAGAUAAAGAAGAAUUCGUAUGGACAAAGGAGCAACAAGAGGCUUUUGACAAUAUAAAAAGGUAUUUGUCAAACCCUCCUGUAUUAGUACCUCCAAAAACAAGCCAGCCGAUGAAAUUAUACAUAUCGGCUACAGAAGAAAAUUUGGGAUGCUUACUAGCCCAAGAAAAUAAGGAAAAUGAAGAACAAGCCAUUUAUUAUUUGAGCCGACGUCUUUUAGAUACCGAAAAACGGUAUUCGGCUAUUGAAAAAUUAUGUUUCGCUUUAUACUAUUCAUGCACAAAAUUGAGAUAUUAUAUUUUACCAACCGAAGUAUCGGUAAUAUGUAAAACCGAUCUGGUAAAAUAUAUGUUAUCUAAACCAGUGUUACGGGGACGGAUCGGAAAAUGGAUAUUAGCAUUAUCCGAGUUUUCCUUUAAUUAUGUUCCUGCCAAAGCCGUCAAAGGCCAAGCUAUAGCCGAUUUUCUGGCUGAUCACCCAUGUGUAGAGAUUGAGGAGCCGAAACAGAAUUUCAUCAGCUGUCGACCUUAGGUGCUGUAUUUUGACGGUUCAAAAACAGCCGAAUCUGUAGGUGCAGGGAUAGUAAUACAAUCCCCUGAAGGUCAUGUUUGUCAAUUUGCAUUUGAACUAGAUUUCGGCUGUUCCAACAACCAGGCCGAAUACGAAGCAUUGAUCAUUGGUCUUGAAAUUUUACAAGAAUUGAAGGCAAAGUCAAUCAAAGUCAUCGGUGACUCACAGUUAGUAAUCAGGCAAGUCAAUGGAGAAUACCGAUGCGAAAACCCGAAUUUACAAAAUUAUUUAAGGAAGACAUUAGAAUUACUAUGUGAGUUCAGAGAAACUGAAUUCGAACAUUUGAGCAGACAGUAAACUGAAAAGGCAAAUGAACUAGCUCAGUCGGCUUCAGGAUAUAGAGAGCCGAAGUCAGAGUCAAUAGCAAUACAGAGGAGGUUGCUACCUUCGGUUCAUGUAUGAGAACCGAUUACAGCUCCCAUAAAAAUGAAGGAAGAUUGGAGAGAAUUAUUAAUCAAAUAUUUGGAGGAUCCUUAUACAAGGGUCGACUAUAAUAUUCGGAGAAGAGCUCUCGGCUAUUGUUUGUUGGAUGGUCAGCUUUACAAGAGAACAGCCGAAGAAGUUCUAUUAAAGUGUUUAGGACCUGAAGAAGCUUUGUUGAUAAUGGGAGAAACACACGAAGGAAUAUGUGGAACCCAUUUAGCCGGAAAAAAGUUAAGAUGGACAAUUCGGCAUUAAGGAUAUUAUUGGCCAAUAAUGCAUCAAGAUUGUAUAGAAUAUGCUAAACGUUAUCAGGAUUGUCAAUUUCAUGGCUUAAUCCAGAGAGUUCCGGCCUCUGAGAUGUAUGCAAUCAUCAAACCAUGGCCUUUUCGAGGUUGGCCCAUGGAUUUAAUUGGAGAAAUUCAGUCGAACUCUUCGGCUGGUCACAAAUUUUUAAUAGUGGCUGUCAAUUAUUUCACCAAAUGGGUGGAAGCGAAACCCACUCGGUUGGUUAAUCAAAAAGAAAUUAUUGAUUUUGUUGAAGAUCAUAUAAUUCAUCGCUUUGGGAUUCCCGAGACAAUUACGACCGAUCAAGGGACAAUGUUCACAGGAGGACAGUUCGUUCGGUUCAUCGAGUCUCGGAAGAUAAAGUUGCUCCAUUCAUCUCCUUAUUAUGCCCAAGCGAAUGGACAAGUAGAAGCAGCGAAUAAAAUAGUCAUCAACCUUAUGAAACGACAUAUCGGAAAGCAUCCGAGAAAAUGGAAUGAAAAACUUUCCGAAGUAUUAUGGGCAUGCCGAACUUCAGUAAAAACGGCAACAGGGAUGACACCAUUCCAAUUAGUUUACGGACAUGAGGCCGUAAUUCCAGCCGAGAUAACAGUUCCUUCUUUAAGAACAGAAAAGCAAAAAGAUUUGUCGGCUGAUGAAUGCAGUAAUUUAAUGAAAGACAAAGCAGAGGAAGUAUAUGAUACUCGGUUAAUAGCUUUAGAUAAUAUGCAAGCAUACCAAAGCCGAGUGCGUAGCGCAUACAAUAAGAGUUCGAUCAAAGACAUUUGUCAUCGGUGAUUUAGUACUUCGGCUGAUUUUUUCAAUUGAUCAAAAAGACCGAACGUAUGGAAAAUGGUCUCCAAAUUGGGAAGGGCCAUUUCAAGUCAACCGAAUCACAAAAGAAAAUGCAUAUUACUUGCAGAAUAGGGAUGGUUUAGAAAAUGAAAAACCUAUUAAUGGAAAGUAUUUGAGGAAAUAUUACCCAUCUAUGUGGAAGAAAAAUCAAGAUCAAAGUUAGAAUAUUACAAGCCAAAUCAAGAUAAUAAAUCUUUGAAUUUGUUCCAUUCGGCUAUAAGGUUGGCUUGAGCAGCUUCAGCAGCUUUUCUUCGGCGCUUCAUCAAGGGAUGUACCUUGUAAAGUUAAGAAAGCUCUUCUUGAAUUUUCAUCCCUUCUGCUCUUUUACAUUUUAAUUGGUUCUGCAAUUGAAGUCGGCGCUCAGAGGUUUGGGCUAAAGUUGAUUCAGCUGCUGCUAACUCUUCUUUAAGGGUUGAAAUCUGCUGUUGUAGAGUCGAUUCUUGACUUGCCAAAGCCUGAUCUUCCUGAUUCACUUCAGUAAUAGGGGCAACUACCUCAGGAAUAAUGUUCUUAUAGUGAUCAACUCGAUGAAAAUGUUGACCCGUAGUUAAAAGCUCGGCUCCUAAGCAUUGUUGCUAAGAUAAGAAAGAAGAAAGCUGAGAUGACAGAGUCUCUACAAAACAUUUGAUACUAGAGGCUAUAUGUGAGGAAGUGAAUUCUCGAAAUACGAGAGUUAGAUUUCAUGUAAAACCGACCAAGGGUCGUGUUGGUAAGCUUUGGAAAAGCCAAAGAUGUUAAAAUCACCGAAGGUGCAUUGGAAAUGAGUCCACGAGAGCAAAUAGUGCAAAACUUGCUCUAGAGCAAAAUUGCUCUCGGGGACCGGUCCCUGGCAGGGAGGGACCGGUCUCAUCAACUGGUGUCGCGGGGUUGCUUGAAGCAACCAGUCCCUGGUAGGGAGGGACCGAUUCCCGAACGCGAUCCCAGCAAGAAAAGCCAAAAAUCGGCUAAGUCCUGAGAUUCCAAUUCUCGGGAAUCGGUCUCUUGGGGAGGAACCGGUCUCCCGAGGACCGGUCUCUCUGGGAGAGACCGGUACCCGAACGCGUGACCCGAGCUGAAGCUCUCGGGGACCGGUCCCAAGUCGGGGAGACCGGUCCCUCCGCGCGCAGAACGCCCAGUGAGGGCUGUGCACAGAGUGAAAAGUGGAGGGGGCCAGCUGGAUAUUGUUACAUUAGAGGGCUUAUUAGUCCCUCUCUCCCUCUCACUCUCUCUCAGUUCACUCUCUCUCCCUCCCUCACACUCUCUUGCUUUCUCUCUCUAGAAAAGAAGGAGAAAAGAAGAAGAAGAAGAAAGGAGAAGGAAAGAAGGAAGAAAGGGAAGGAGAAGAAGAAGGAGAUCAACAAAAGAAGGCUUUUGGACUUCUCCCUCAUCCUCUCUUCUCUCUUUUAAGCUAACCUAGAGGUAAGCUUCUAACCCUAGCUUGUGAGAUUUGGGGUUUUUGGGUUUUAGCUCUUUGGAUGGGAUCAAAUGGAUCCCUAGCACCAUGAAUGGAAGGAUUAGAGCUAGAAUCUAGGGUUUUGAGAUGGGUUUAGCUUGAUGCUAACCCUAGGGCACCAAAAUAGGGUUUUUCGGUAAAGUAUGGGAUUGAUCUCAUUUGAGGCCUUGUAAACCUAAUUGGUAGGUGCCUAAACGCGGGGGCGAAGUCGGAAUUUCGAUUCGUCGAGCGGGUCAAGAGCUAUCGGCAAAAUAAGGCCGAUUGAGCAUCAUUUGGACCAAGAAGACCGAGGCUUCGUCGUAAAGGACGCCGAAGCGCACUUCUAGAGCCUCCUUAUACGCAAAAGGUGGGGGGUGUCGUUCCGGAACAUCCGGGUUUCUUUUUAUGUCUAAGUUACAUAUGUGUUGAUCAUAUUGCAUUAUAGGAUUAAUAAAUGUAUAUUUCCUUUUCCUUGCAUGCUUCUUAGUAGUGUACUUAUGAGUUGAACACCUAGACUAGGGUAGCAUGAGGAUUGGGUCUUAUGGCAUAGAAUCCUAUAGCGGCAUAAAGAGCCGAACUUGGACAUAGCCUAGUAGAGUGGCAUUGAACUAGUGUAGUAGAGACACUAAACUUGAACGAGUGGCAUGUCAAUUAGUAGAAAACUUACUACAAUGAUCGAACGAGUGGCAUUGAGUCUAGUGUAGUAAACUUGACAUGAACCUAGGGAUAGUAGAAGUCCCAACAUUGAUUAUAUAUCAUGACUGUGCAGCAGAGGCACAUUGACCCUAGUAGACAGGGUAUCCUCUUGUGAGGAUUGGAUCAUACUCACUAGUCUGUUUUUGCUUGUCGGUGGUCGCUCCACCGAGGCACGAGUCUCCGGAGUACUUCACUAGGGGCAGACGUAGUUGUCCCGCAGACGGUCUCGGUGUGCGAGUGCAGCUUCUCCUCACCUAUGAGAUUGAGAGUGAGUCGAGGGUUAACCUACGGGUCAACCAAGUAGAUUGGGUAAUAAACAUGAAAUGCAUAGUAGACUUGCAUUAUUACCUUGAGUAGACAUAGUGUAUGUUGUAGAUUACAUUGCUAUGCACCUUUAUAUACUCAUGACAUGAUACUAGCAUGAUAGUAGUUGUUGCAUACAUUAUUAUCAUUGAUGGCAUGAUAGAGUAGUUGCAGCUCGUUUUAUAUAUAUAUCUAUCUAUCUCUCUAUCUGUGCCAGCUUAGACCUAGUGGAAAAACCGGCGGCGUCGGCGGCCGAACCCAUUGGGAACUAUAUUUAUAUAGUUCUCACCCCGUGUGGUUUUGGGGUACAGGUACACACAGAGGCGAGCCGAGCGAGGAUCGCGGCAAGGGCAUAGCGCCCUAAGUGAGCAUAGUUAGUAGCUUUCCUUUAUGCAUUAGAGUACCCUCGUGUACUAGAUAUUUUGGAUAGAUAUUGGAAAGCCACGAUAUAUUUUGAGAACAUGUAUUUACAUUUAAAAGAUGAAAUGUAAUAUAUUCGAAUGAUGUAAAUGUUGAAUGGUUGUAUUAGCUAGAUGUACUCUCUUUAUACACUUGUACUUCACUCGUGGUUCUUGCUCUUAGUUAUUGUGCACUUGUGUGCAUCGUAUCUUUCGUGUAUGUUAAUUAAGCAUUCCCUGGGCGCUUAACUGUACAUGAUCUGGUUGUUUGGCCUUGGGCGGACAAGAGAGGUGCGGUCCGUUCGGCAUCUGUUCGACGCGCCCGAACCGGACCAAAUUGGUAGCGGGCUCGGGGCAUGACACUAUAUCUGAUUGAUCGGCCAAAGCAAGUAAAAGAGCAUGCAGCCGAUCAAAUAGCUCCGGAUUUUGAGCUAAACAAGGGAGACCAUUGCUAUAAAUUUUAAGACACUCAUCAAAUUUGCGUUGAGUGUCUGAUGAUGCGAUAAUGGUCGAAGAAUCAUCUCCCUCAUUGGAACUGGGACUUGAAACCAGUAGAGAAUGAAGAGUAGCAGAUAGAGGAUCCUCAGGAACAAAAGGGGAGGUUUCAUGAGUCGGAUGAGGAGAUACGGUGCUUGUUUCUCCAUAGCCUUGCCCGAAAGGUACAUUUACUUUUUCAUCCCCUGUAGUUGGCACUGGGGCAGGGGCAGAAGGAAGUGAUACGUCCCUACUUGAUAAUGGCGUCGUGCUUGCCUCUUCAACAGACUUUUUCUUUUUCUCUACCCCUCGCUUCUUUUCAAGACGAGCUUCCCUACGAAGUUGUCUCUCUAACUGCGUCCUUGAAGAAUGAAUAAAAGAGACUCUUUCAGGAGAGGACUGUGGGUUAAAAGAAAAUGAUAAAUAAAUAAAGAAAGAGAAAAUUUGGGUACAGGCAAAUAACUUGGCUUACCUCGAUCUCAAUUGGUUCUGUCGGGAUAGGGAUUUGUUUUGUAGCCGAAGUAGGUACAUUUGUUUCCUCUGAUGAAACACCAACCGGAGGCAUGUUUUCGGCUCUUAUUUCUGGGAUUGAAGCCGAAGGUGUAUCUUCGGCUUUGUCUUUUAAAAGAUCAGCCAAAGGAGCAUUUUCGGUUUGUCGAAAUUGCCUUUUAGCAACUGAUUUAUGCCGCUUUGGAGGCGGCGGAGGAGUAGAUUGAGCGGUCUCAAUCGGUCUUUUUUCUGAAGCUGAGACCGAUGGAGAAACUGAAAUUGACUGCAGAAAAGAAAAAUAAGUAUUUGGAAUGUUGAAAAGAAAGUUAAAAUAGAGGUGAUUACAUUACAGAAGAAGAAGGCUUGGCCUCAGAAGCUUCUUCUAUUUCUUCUCUUGAUGAUGAGACAGGAGUAUCAACUGAAACAAGUGGAUGAAUAGUUCUACGGAAUGCCUGAAGAAGAGAAGGUCGAGAGUACGGUCAGUAAAAUGAUCCCAAAUAGUAGCAUAGCCGGCAAGAGCAACUCCUGUGUAGUUUGGCCUGAAGCUCACUAAUUUAAAGAAUCGACGAAGGCGAUUUCCUAUAGCCGAAAUCUUAUCAGCUUCGGCUAUACCUUUAGUAGGGGGUCGAUGAUCGGCUGUAUUAGUUGUAAAAAAUUUAGAUAGAGCAGGAAUCGGUUGAACAAAUCCAAACUAGCGGGCCACAUACUGAGGGGAAUAAACUUCAGUGCUUGGUAAUAGUUUUGAGCUCAAUUUUAACCCCACAUGAAGAUCUCUCGGAGCCAAAUAAGAGUACCAUACCUCUGAGUACUCACUAGCGCGAGAAGAGGCCAAUUCACCCUGGAUAGCUUCAAACCGGGCAAGGAACCAGGAAGGACCGGGAAGACGGUGAGCAAAGGGAGCCCAGGAAAUAGCCGAUUCAGGACUCGGCUCAUAAAAAGUUUUAAAAUAAGUAAGAAAGUCAGAAGGUUGACCCAGAGUCAUCGGCUACGGAUAGCCGAGAGAUAACCUAUAAGAAUCAAAUUGGGCAACCGAAGUCGGAUUAAAAGGAGAUUGACAUAAAGCGGGAAUAUAGAAUUGCAAAAAUAUUUGAAGAAACCAGAAAACACCGCAGCCAGAACUGAUGGCAAUACCAUCUCCAGAAGGCAGUAUUUUGAUAGAAUCAAAAAUUUCUCUAUAGACAAAGGCAAGAAAGUAAGGCCCUAGAGCUAAUCUAUCGCCGUUAGACAAACCAACGGCGAUUGGAACAAAAUCACGAUUGAUCUUCUGUGAACGAGUACAGAAGAAAUUAUGACAUAACCAAUAAAGGAGGAAUGUCGUAUGUUCUUUCUUAGUAACGGAAGUAGGGGAUUCACCUGCGAAUUUGCGGAUAAACUUGGAGUAAGCCAAGUCAUUGAGGUCUAAACGAUCCUCAAAAUCAGAUACGCCGUCAAGAUUAUAAGACAUAGAAACAGUAACGCCAUGAGGGCGGAAGCCAGUAAUGGCGGCCAAGUCAAAAUGAGUGGGGGUAAGAGGUCCUCUUUUGAAAAGAAAAAUAUUAGAAGGAGGGGACCAAAAACAUAGAGCGGCGGCUAGAAGAAGAUUAUCGGCAAUAGAAGGAUGCCGAGACAAUUGGAUAGCUUCAUAUAUCCCAACCUCUCGCCAAAAGUCACCAAAGGCGACUUCUACUCGAUCUAACCAGGUUAAAUAUGCCUCUGAGAUACUUGGCGAGGUUCGAAGACUCUUCCCUGUUGAAGCAUAAGAGUACCAAGAUUGAAGAUGAAUAGCUUUUCUCAGGGGAAGACCGUCGCUAGAAAAGGGUGAGUCGACAAGGGAUGGCACUUUUGUAAGAGAAGGACCCAAAAUAAAUCUAGAUGGGUCUGAGUCGACAAAGGGUUUAAGUAUAGUAUAAUCCAGGGAUGGAUGAGAAGGAAGAGGCGGAACCAGCGCCAUUAGUCAAAAAAGAAAAAAAGAGAAAGAAGCCAAGUGAAAAAUAAAAGAAAUCAAAGAAGAUGAAGGAAAAAUAAAAGGAAGCGAAAGAAAAGUUUCAUGGAAGACGAAGAAGAAAUAGAAGAGACAAAAAGAAUGAAAAGCUUGGAGAAGAAGAAAGGCCAUCAUAUCGAACCGUCGCGUCGAAACGAGUUUCGAGGUCGACUUUAAUAAUGAAUAGACGGCGAUAAUUAAGAUGACCUAGUUAAUGCCGCAGAUGAGACAAAAUGAGGAUUGAGAUCGGGCCGUAAGAAAGAAAAUAAACGGCUAAGAUUGAACCGUACAGAGGGUCACGCCUCGAAUUACGUCGGGUACAGGUACAGAGAGUUUCAAUGUAAUUGGACCGAGAAUGACGCCUCGGAUCGCACUUGUUAUUGAAGCAAUUACAGGAUUUCGGCAGCGAAAAAAGGGACGGCUGAGAUGAAACCAUACCGGAAAGUUGAAAAGUAAUCGUGUCUCAGGUUACGCCAGCUACCGAAGUGUUACUUCGAAAGCUGCCGAGGGGGCAAUUGUUGAGCCAAUUAGGCGCGGACAGGAUCGGUGCUGGUAUUCCCUUCAAAAGCAUCUAUUCGAUCGUGCAUUGGGAGCACCGGAAAAGUGUAAAGAAAAACAAAUUGCUCCAAUUGAAGGAAGUUACGGUAACCGCAAGCAGUUACAUGCGGUUCCGAUCGGCUAGAUGUGGUCCGGAAUAUGAGGAGAUAGUGGUCGAUCGUGUAAGAGCAAUAACUGACUGAAGGGGUUAUCUAUAAAUAGGGUAAUAAUACCCUAAAAAGGGGUCUUUUCUCCUGCGAACAAAAGACCACCCUUAUUUUCCUGCAUCUUUCUUUUCUGCAUUUACUGCUUUUCCUAGGAGUAGUUCCUGUAACUUAGCAUCCUGGAGUCUGUCUGCCCUUUGGGCAUCACUCCGCUGUAGACUAAACCCCUUUUUUCUGUACUUUUUUCGUUCUACUUCAAUAGAAGGCAGUGUUCGGCUCUUCAGGCUGACCAGUUUCUGUGCUGUAUUAGCCAUUCGGCUCAUUUCUUGGUCAAAAUUCUGGCUUCUCCUGUGCAUUCGGCUCAUCCGGCCGAACAGAAGAGAGAAUAAAGUUUACGGACCCGGUUGAUUGGAUCCCUCAUCGACCGAAUCGCUUGAUAGAUCAAAUGGCACAAACUUCGAGGGUUAUCAUUCACAGCCGCUCAUCAUCCCGACACAUAUCCCGAGGACGGGAAAAUUCGGCUUCCAACAGAUUUAAAUUAAACUCUAAUAUUUGUAUUAGAGUCUAAUUUAAUUUGAUUGAACUCAAAUUAUAUGUGGUAGAGUCCAAUUUAAUUUGAUUAGGCUCUAUAUAUGUCAGAACCUAAUUAGGUUCGAGUCGUGGUUCAUAUCGGUUGGGUUUUGUUUGAAUUUUGGUUGAGAUUGGAAUACGGUUUGUGUAAUAUAUGGAAACUGGGAGUUGCGAUGUCAGCUUUGAUCUAUUGGAUCAAAGUGCGGAUUGAGCUAGUUGGACAUCAUCCCCGAGUGAUUUUGGAUGCGUGUGAAUGAAUUUUGGAGAUAAAUAAGUGUUUCGGCGCAAAUUGGGCGCGAAACAAAAAGUAAAGAAAAUUGUCAGAUUCUGACGCUAACUUUGAUUAAGAGAAUUAAAGUGAGCAAAGUAAUAUAAAAUGGUGUGAGAUACCAUUUGAUUGGAUUUAAGGGUGUAAGAUAUAAGUCUGGAAUGACUCGUGUUGGAAUCGGAGCGAAAACUGAAGAAUUGGAAUUUUCUGUAAAGAAUGGACUGAGAAAUUAGCAGAAAAUGCACAGUGUCAGAAAAUUAUGAAAAUUGGAAGAUAUAUCAGGAAUAUGUUUAUGAGGCCAGAUUUCAAGUUUCAUAUUAUUCUGACACUUGUAGAGAGAGAAAUUGAAUCCGAAAGUUAUCGGAUAAAGGUUGCAGUUCGGUACAGUUCGCAGUGACCAAAUGGGGUCGGAACUGAAAUGUUAAAAUUUUUUUGGACUUGUUAAGUAAAAUCGAACAUGCCUGUCAAGUUUGAGCUCAAUCGGACUUUUGGAAGGGACUGUGAAAGGUAUCUAAUCCGUGUGACGAAACGGAGUAUAAGUCGAGGACAUUUUGGUAAAUUGCAUGGCUUAAUGGAAUUCCACUAAACCAGCCUGCAGGGAGCCCUCCAUCCUUAUCCCCUGCCUUUCCCUUCCAUACGUAGAGAGAGAGGGAAAGAGAAGAGAAUAAGAAGAAGAAGAAGAAGAAGUAGAAGAAAAAGAGAAAAGGUGAGAAUCCGAGUUUUUAAUCCUCUCCCCCUCAUCCUUUUUCCCUGCUGCUGAAAACAGCAGCAGCAGCAGCAGCCCUUGCUGCUGCUGUGAGCAGGAACAGCAGCAGCAGCUGUAGCUCACAGCAGCAGCAGUAGCAUGAGUAGCUCAGCAGCAGCAGCAAGCUGCUGCUGAAGCAGCAGCAGUAGCACCAGCAGCUGCUGCUGAAGCAGCCAACAGCAGCAGCUACUGGAUCAGUAGCAGCAGCUGCUGGAUCAGCAGCAGGAUUAGCAGCAGUAGCAAGCUGUAGCAGCAGUUUGCUCAGCAGCAACAGCAGUGGCCUUAGCAGCCUGCGCCAGCAGCAUGCGCAGCAGUAGCAGUAGCAGCUGCAGCAAUCAGCAGCUAACAGCAGCUGCAGCUAGCAGCAGCAGCAGUGGCACCAGCAUUAGCAGCAGAGCAGCAGCAGCUCAGCAGGACCUGCAGCAGCAGCAGCAGCAGCUUAGCAGUGGCAACAGUGGCAGCUGCUAUCAGCAGCAGUAGCAGCAGCAGCAAUGGCAACAGUGGCAGCAGCAGCAGCUGCCCUGCAGGGCCAACAAGAAAGAAAAGAGGAAGAAAGAAAGAAAGAGAAAAGAAAGAAAGAAGGAAAAGCAAGAAAGAAUACGAAUGAAAAAUGAGGAAAAGGGAGAAAUGGAAAGAAAAGAUCGAAACUAAGUUGAAUUGCAUAGAAACGGGUUUAAUGAAUUUUGACCCCGGUAAUGCACUUUUGCAGGAUAGGAGUCCUAAUGCGAAAUUGACUGCGUACAAACCAAAUUGAGGGUAAAAGAAACGCGUUGGCGAAGUCGGUUCGGCAAUCCGUCGAGCCUACGCAAAGAUAUCGCCGAAAAGAUGUUUUCGGCAUCAAUUGGCACGAGCGCUGUCACGCCCCCGCCCGAGACCACUACCAAUUUGGCACGAUUCGGUCGCGGCGAACGGACCGCCGAACGGACAGCACCUUCCCUGUCCGCCCAAGGCACCAAUAACAAGAUUGUGUACCACAAGUUCCCAGGAAAUUACUUGAAUACAUACACAAUCAUUCGACAACUACGAGAGCACAAUCAGUGCCUAUCAAUCAAGAGCAAGCAACACAUGUAAUGCAUACAAGUGAUAAAAGAGAGAUGUACUUAUCUAUUGAUCCAUUAAACUUUAUACAAUUAUUACAACUUGUAUUCUUCCAAAACUAUACAAUGUAUACACAAUUCUCUCAACCUCACCCUAUACAUCAUCUACGCUCAAGCAUAAGUACAGGGUAGGGCUAAUGUAAAAAGGAGGAGAGCUAGCUAGAACAUAAACCACUAGGGCGCUACGCCCUUGCCGCGAUCCUCUCCCGGAACGCUCGAGCUCGGACCUGCAGUGUGGUGGAGUGAGAACUACGAAUAGUUCCCAGUGGGUUCGGCCGCCGACUCCGCCGAUCUCCCCACUAGGUCUUAAGCAGGCACAGAUAGAUAUGCAGAUAGAUAGAUAUAUAAAGCUGAAAACAGUAACAGUAAGGAGCAACUAUAAUCUAUCAAUGCCUCAAUCCAGUGUAAUGCAUGCAUGGAACUCAUAGUAAGAAGGCUGACUAUUACAUUACCAUGUUCAACAACAAAGUCACUCAUCUGGUUACCCAAUCUCUCGGCGAACGCAAGGUUCGCUCACAGUCUCACGUCUCCAAGUCUCAUAGGAGAGGUGGCUAGCUAUUCACCUACCCCNNNNNNNNNNNNNNNNNNNNNNNNNNNNNNNNNNNNNNNNNNNNNNNNNNNNNNNNNNNNNNNNNNNNNNNNNNNNNNNNNNNNNNNNNNNNNNNNNNNNNNNNNNNNNNNNNNNNNNNNNNNNNNNNNNNNNNNNNNNNNNNNNNNNNNNNNNNNNNNNNNNNNNNNNNNNNNNNNNNNNNNNNNNNNNNNNNNNNNNNNNNNNNNNNNNNNNNNNNNNNNNNNNNNNNNNNNNNNNNNNNNNNNNNNNNNNNNNNNNNNNNNNNNNNNNNNNNNNNNNNNNNNNNNNNNNNNNNNNNNNNNNNNNNNNNNNNNNNNNNNNNNNNNNNNNNNNNNNNNNNNNNNNNNNNNNNNNNNNNNNNNNNNNNNNNNNNNNNNNNNNNNNNNNNNNNNNNNNNNNNNNNNNNNNNNNNNNNNNNNNNNNNNNNNNNNNNNNNNNNNNNNNNNNNNNNNNNNNNNNNNNNNNNNNNNNNNNNNNNNNNNNNNNNNNNNNNNNNNNNNNNNNNNNNNNNNNNNNNNNNNNNNNNNNNNNNNNNNNNNNNNNNNNNNNNNNNNNNNNNNNNNNNNNNNNNNNNNNNNNNNNNNNNNNNNNNNNNNNNNNNNNNNNNNNNNNNNNNNNNNNNNNNNNNNNNNNNNNNNNNNNNNNNNNNNNNNNNNNNNNNNNNNNNNNNNNNNNNNNNNNNNNNNNNNNNNNNNNNNNNNNNNNNNNNNNNNNNNNNNNNNNNNNNNNNNNNNNNNNNNNNNNNNNNNNNNNNNNNNNNNNNNNNNNNNNNNNNNNNNNNNNNNNNNNNNNNNNNNNNNNNNNNNNNNNNNNNNNNNNNNNNNNNNNNNNNNNNNNNNNNNNNNNNNNNNNNNNNNNNNNNNNNNNNNNNNNNNNNNNNNNNNNNNNNNNNNNNNNNNNNNNNNNNNNNNNNNNNNNNNNNNNNNNNNNNNNNNNNNNNNNNNNNNNNNNNNNNNNNNNNNNNNNNNNNNNNNNNNNNNNNNNNNNNNNNNNNNNNNNNNNNNNNNNNNNNNNNNNNNNNNNNNNNNNNNNNNNNNNNNNNNNNNNNNNNNNNNNNNNNNNNNNNNNNNNNNNNNNNNNNNNNNNNNNNNNNNNNNNNNNNNNNNNNNNNNNNNNNNNNNNNNNNNNNNNNNNNNNNNNNNNNNNNNNNNNNNNNNNNNNNNNNNNNNNNNNNNNNNNNNNNNNNNNNNNNNNNNNNNNNNNNNNNNNNNNNNNNNNNNNNNNNNNNNNNNNNNNNNNNNNNNNNNNNNNNNNNNNNNNNNNNNNNNNNNNNNNNNNNNNNNNNNNNNNNNNNNNNNNNNNNNNNNNNNNNNNNNNNNUUUUGCACUGGCACUCUCGCGGACCUUUCCUUAGCGCACUUAGCGCAUCAUUACCUCCGUCGGACUUUCCGAAGCCUACACACUCGACGACCAGUCGAUUCUAGACGAAGUCUAAUCCUCAGUUUUCGAGAAUUCACUUCCCUUACAUUCUCCCCACCUUAAAAGAGUUUCGUCCUCGAAACGAAUUCAACGAUAUCAAAUUCAUCCAAAGUUAACUCUAAACUCAUACCUCGGCUCAAUCCUCGAAUAAGUGAGGAUGAUUCGCUUUCAUCUCCUCCUCGAGCUCCCAGGUGGCUUCACGAUCGCUAUGAUUGCUCCACCGGACUCGAAUAUAAGGAAUUUCGCGACUUCUCAACUUGCGCACUUCUCGAGCUAGAACCUCCACUGNUCCGCGAACAUCAAUCUUCGGAACUCCUCCCAAUCGAUCGGGGGAAGAUCCGGAGAUCGAUCCUGCUUUACUCUCUUCCACCACACCCUGGCCCGCUUUUCAAAACAAUGAGCGGCCAAAUUAACCUUGUCCCGCUCCUCAGUAUAGAUAUCCUCGAAUAGGGUCUCCAUCGAGGCCAACCAUGUCUCCACCGUCCAAGGAUCUAUCACUUCUCCGUCAAACGUAGGCGGGUGGAACUUCGCAAACCUUGUGAGAGCCGUGUAACCACGCUCUCGCUUCGCCUCCUCAGCCGCCGCUCUAGGCGUAGGGGACCUCGACGCCGCAGGAGGAAUAUCCACCGGUGGGGGUUGCGCCGCCACCGGAACCGGCGCAUCACCCACACCCUCGGCCGCAUUGGGGGCGCGAACCGAAGGCGCAGGCGGGUCACAGCCUUGUCCGACUGCCGCAGCCGCCGCCGCAGCCUGACGCUCCAUAAGCUCCUGGAGCCGAUCGAACCGCCCUGCUAACGCAGCAACUUGUGCCCGCAAUUCCCGCACCUCACUAGGCCCAGCUGGCUCUAGCGCCGCCGGGGGCACAGCUGACUCGGGCACCCCUGGGGGUGGUGCCAGAGCAGUCCUACGCACAUAGCGUCUUUUCGGUGCCAUUAGCUCCUGAAACGCAAACAAUCGGUUAAUUACUUAACCCAACGACGUUUUCGCAGUUACGAAAUGAUACAACUUAAUUAAACAAAUCAGACGGAAGCUCAUAAGUGUACCCGUUCUUGACUCUCGGCAUUGUGUUGUCGGCCGCCAACACAAUCGCCUUAAGCCAAGGACUAGUAUCACUCAAUUUAUCUCUAGUAACCACUAGAGCAUCAGCACCGACUUCGACCCAAUCGAUCAACUUCCGUCGCGUCAUAGGUUCACGUCGCACUCACGCACCUAUAACCUUAAGGCUCACCGUCCUAGGGUCUCCUAGGUCAGUCCUAGACUCUCUCUUUUGCUUGCUCUUACUCGCUCUGAUACCACAACUGUCACGCCCCCGCCCCGAGUCCGCUACCUAUUUGGCACGAUUCGGGCGCGGCGAACGGACCGCCGAACGGACAGCACCUCCUCUGUCCGCCCAAGGCUCAAACCACUAGAUUGCGUACAACAAGUUCCCAGGAAACCAUUUGAAUACAUACACAAUCAUACAACAACCACAAGAGCACAAACAGUGCUUAUCAACUAAGAGCAAGCAACACAUGUAAAGCAUACAAGUGACAAAGAGAGAUGUACUUAACUAUUAAUCCAUUUAACUUUAUACAAUUAUUACAACUUGCAUUCUUCAAAAACUGUGCAACAUAUAUACAACCCUCUCAAACCUCACCCUAUACAUCCAACUACUCUCAAAAUAGUACAGGGUACGGCUAAUGCAAAAGGAGGUAAGCUAGCUAUAAACAUGAACCACUAGGGCGCUACGCCCUUGCUGCGAUCCUCUCCAGGGACGCUCGAACUCGGACCUGCAAUGUGGUGGAGUGAGAACUACGAAUAGUUCCCAGUGGGUUCGGCGGCCGACUCCGCCGAUCUCCCCACUAGGUCUUAAGCAGGCACAGAUAGAUAUGCAGAUAGAUAGAUAUAAAACUGAAAGCAGUAACCGUAAUGAACAACUAUAAUCUAUCAAUGCCUCAAUCCAGAAUGAUGCAUGCAUGGAAGUCAUAGUAAGAAGGCUGGCUAUCAUACUACCAUGUUCAACAAUAAGGUUAUUCAUCUAAUUACCCAAUCUCUCGGCGAACGCAAGGUUCGCUCACAAUCUCACGUCUCUAAGUCUCAUAGGGGAGGUGGCUAGCUAUUCACCAACCCCGAGACCGCCUGCGGACACUACACUGGUCCAAGGGCACUACACUGGCCCCCUCGCGUGCCAAACUCCGGAGUGCACUACCUGUGAGGAGCUACCUCCACAGGUGCAGACAGGCUAAGUGAGCUCGAUCCGAUCUCAUGAACUGGGAACACCCUACCCAACCAGGGGUGAUAGCAACAUAGUAUCUCAACUAAACUAGUGUUCUCAUGCCACUCUUGCACUACUUAAUGCCACUCGUUCAAUGUUUAGGGUUAACUAGAUGCCACUCGUUCUCUUGACAAGUUCUCGAUACACUAGUUUCCAAUACACUAGGUAUACAUUCACAUAAACAUAUCCAUCAUAUAUAGGGCGAACUAUCUCAUAGUAUUCGACUCCUGCAUACUAGGUUUUCAUUCAUGGUAUCUACAACCUAUACAUCACUAGCAUGCGAGGAUAUGCACAAUUACAUGUAACACCCUAUAAUGCUAUAUCACAAUAUGCAAAUGAUCGAUAAUAAUACUCAGAAAUAAAGAGUAGCCCGACCGCUUCGGGAUGGCACUCCCCCACCUCGUGGUGAUGCCGCGACUCUUCAAACGCGUUUCGCCGACUUUUCAACGCCUCAUUGGCCUUCUAAGCGAAAACGAAGCUCCGAAGGUCUAUUUGGCGAUAACUCCGCACCCACUCGACGGAUCGACGAACCGUCUUCGCCGACGCGUUCAGAGACCUAGCAAUUAGGUUUGCGACCCAUCAAUUUAGAUCAAAACCCUAGAUUUGCCAAAAUCCUUAAUUGAAGCCCUAGAUCUCGAUACUGGAGAAAUCCACGGUGCGAGCUUCGAUUUCGAGCUCGAACCUUCUCCCUAGCUUCAAUAGAUUCCAUUUGAACCAAUUCCAAGCUAUAAAACCCUAGCUUCCAAAAUUUGCCAUUAAAGGGUUUGAGGUUUACCUCAAUACCAAUCUCCAAACUUGAAGAGGGAGAGAAGAAGACGAUCUUCUUCUUCUUCUUAGUCUUCUCCUUCUCUUUCUCCUUCUUUUCCUUCCUCUCCUUCUUCUUCUUCUUCUUUUUCUUCUUUUCCUUUCCAGAGAGAGAGAGAGGAAGAGUGUGAGAGAGGGAGAGAGCAACUGAGGGAGAGAGAGGGGUCCCCAAGCCCUCAUAUAGGCCAUUUUGCAACUAGCCCCCUCAACUUUUCAUUUCCUGAAAUAGCCCUCCCUGGGCCAUUUUCGCAGUGAGGGACCGGUCCCUGCUCGGGGAGACCGGUCUCCGAAAGCUCCACAACCAGGCAGAGGGGAUUUCGCGUUCGGGAACCGGUCCUUGCCUGAGAGACCGGUCCCCGGGAGACCGGUCCUUGUCCGAGAGACCGGUUCCCGAGAGCAACACUUUCGGGACUUAGCCAAAUUCCCGCUUCUCUCGCUGGGCCAACGUUCGGGAACCGGUCCCUGCUUGCCAGGGACCGGUCUCAUCAGAGACCCCCGCAGCCCAGCCUGAUGGGACCGGUCCCUCCCUGCCAGGGACCGGUCCCCGAGAGCAUUUUUGCUCCAGUGUAGCUUUUGCACUGGUGCUCUCGCGGACACCUCCUCAAUGCACCUUAUGCAUUGUGAUCACCUUCGGACCUUUCGAAGCUUACACACUCGACAAUCAGUCGAUUCUUGGCGAAGUCUAAUCCUCGGGUUUCAAGAAUUCACUUCCCUUACAGAAUAGAUAGUAACCAACUAACAAAUGCAGCUAAUAUGCCUGAACAACAAACAAUGGUAUGCACGAUAGAAUGCUCAUGAUGAAUGUAAGAUUAUAUUUUCAUUGCCCAAUCUCAUGGCUAGCCUGUGGGUUUCGCCCUCAACAAACUCACCAACUCUAAAUCUCAGUAUCGGGGAGAAACUCCUACGAUCCGACGGGACCGUCCUCUGGGAAGAAACUCCUACGACCCAGUGAUGACUACUCCGGAGCUCAUUGCCCGAGGGGGAGCUACCACCCUCUGAGCAAGGACUAACAGGCGAGUAUGAUCCAAUCCUUAACUUUAAGGUUUUCGAAUUAAAUCCAUUCCUUGACUUCAAGGAAGCAAUGCUCAUAAGUUGCUAUCUCUAUUUACUUGCAUUCCUUACAUAUACUAGUGUCAUGUACACUACUUUGUUCUUGUACUCUCAUUGAUGCCACACUUGUUUUCUAAGUGUUCAUUUCUAGCAUUCUUGUCAUUUUCUAAUGCCACACACUCUAGUAUUGAUUUGCAUAGUUGACACCUACUAAUGCCACCCAAUCCAUAUGUCAUUACGUCAUUUUGAUUCUUUACCUCAUCUAGGUUCUUAUCACAUUUUAUGCAUACAUAGGGUUCUCAUAAUCUUAGUCUUUUACCAUUCUUUCACAUGCAUUUAUACUCGUAACAUGCAAGAAAAUACUUUCAAAUAACCCUACUAUGCUCAACGCUCAACAUUCACAUAUGCUCAAAUAAAUGACAUUUUAGACAUAAGAGGAAGUUCGAGGACUUCGGAAAGCACCACCCACUUUUGAUGGUUGAGAGGAUGCUACGGUUCAAUUCUCGGGAUUUUAGGGCGUCUACUCUCACGCCUGCGGCAAAACAAAGACAAAUUAGGCUUUUACUCAAUAACUUUAUUUAAACCUUUUCGUAAUGUCAACGGAGUUGUCCCAUGCGUCGGGAAUAACCCUAAUUAGAUUUCUAUAAGGUCCAUUUGCCUUAGGAACUUCCUAGGGCAAAAGCCCUAAAUUUGGUGCCCUAAUGUCGCCAUUUGCAGAAUCUUAGGUUUCGAUCUCGAAAACAAGCAAAAGAGAGCUUGCUUAACCUCUAGAAGUUCAUUUAGAACCAUCCAAACCAUUUCUAGAGCAUAUAAAGCAAUCCCUAGAAAUCCACCAUUAGAGCACUUUGAAGAAACUAGGGUUUCAUGUGUUCUAUAGCUCCAACUAGGUUUCUAUACUCAUUAGAAGAUCAAAACCUAGUUUUCUAGGACAUAAACCCAAACCCUAGCCUAGGUUUUCAUGAAAACCUCACCUUGGCCCAAAGCUUUCCAAGAUCCUUCUUGUUGGAGAGAUCCCAAACCCUCAAAGCCUCCAAAUCCACCUUCAAAAGCCUCUUCUACUCCUUCUCCUUGCUCUUUGGGGAGAGUUCUAGAGAGAGAAAGAGAGAAAUGAGAGGGAGAGUGUAAAUGGCUGUGGGAGAGAGAGGGGAGAGGUGUUGGGUUAUUAACAAGUUGUAACAAUUACCACAAAAUCCUCCAAUCACUUGUAUUUGCAGCAGUUUUCAUUUUGCUGUCUGAUCCAAAGUGUACCGGUACACGGGAUUUUGUACCGGUACAUUUCCUGCGCAGAGGCAACCCGAGAGCAAGUUUCUCGGUUUCGUAGCAUUUGUACCGGUACACUUUCAAAGUGUACCGGUACACCUCUAAUUUUUUUUUCUCAAACUCGAGAGCUAUUACCUCUCGAUUUGCAGGGUUGUACCGGUGACGACUCGAUGGUUGUACCGGUACACUUUGCCCAUAAUGCUAUAUUUGCGCCGUUUUCAAUUCUAUGUCGCGCCGGUCGAUGCUAAAACCUUUCUAACACCUUUUAACUCAUUUUUAACCCUUCCAACAUUGUUGGAAUGCCAACUAGAGUUUGUCCAUCCAUUUCUCUCAGUACUUUAAUCUAUUUUGGCUAAAGUUCGAUAAUCUCUAUCGGGGUUUCGAUACGUUACAUUCUCCACCCCUUAAAAUUAGUUUCGUCCGUGAAACUUACUUAAUUUAAACUUAAACUCAUACCUCAAUUCAGCUCAGUGAAGAGAUGAGGGUAAUGCUCCCGCAUUGCACUCUCGAGCUCCCAAGUAUCUUCCCAAUCGUCGUGAUUGCUCCAAUGGAUUUUAACAUACGGAAUUUCACGAUUCCGUAGUUUCCUCACUUCUCAAUCGACGAUAAAUACCGGGAACUCCUCAUAAGUCAUAUCCUCUUGAAUCUCCGAUGGUUCAAACGAGAGGAUAUGGUCGGGAUCAUGAAUAUACUUAUGGAGAUUCGACACGUGGAACACAUCGUGCACUCCCGCGAGCCUCGGUGGUAAUGCUAUCCUGUACGCCAUCGUGCCAACCCACUCUAGUAUCUCGAACGGUCCCAAGUACCGGGGACUUAGCUUUCCCCGGAGUCCAAACUGUCUAAUUUCUCGCAUCGGCGAUACCUUUAAGAACACGUGGUCGCCAAUUGCAAACUCUAUGUCCUUUCUCCGCUUGUCGGCAUAACUCUUCUGUCGAGAUUGCGCCGUAGCGAGUCUUUGGCAGGCAAGGCGAACUUUCUCCUCCGCCUCCCUCACCACAUCCGGGCCAAGAGUAGCUCUCUCACCCACAUCGCUCCAAUGAAUUGGAGAGUGACACUUCCUUCCAUAAAGGUCCUCGAACGGCGCCAUUGCGAUACUCUCUUGAUAACUACUAUUGUACGCGAACUUCCCUAUCGAUAAAUGAUCGUGCCAACCGCCCUUAUAGUCGAGUACACACGCUCGAAGCAUAUCCUCAAGUAUUUGUAUCGUCCUCUCUGAUUGACCAUCACUUUGAGGAUGAAAUGCCGUGCUAAAGUCGAGCCGUGUGCCCAAUGCCUCCUGUAGGCUCUUCCAAAAAUGAGAUGUGAACCUCGGGUCCCGAUCCGAUACAAUUGAUACCGGAACCCCAUGAAGUCUCACAACCUCGUCAAUGUAUACUUGGGCCAACUUGUCACCCGACCAAGUAAUAUGUAUCGGUAGGAAAUGCGCCGACUUCGUCAACCGGUCUAUUAUCACCCAAAUUGCAUCAUGUCCACCUUGAGAUCGGGGCAAUCCGGUCACGAAAUCCAUCGCGAUAUUUUCCCAUUUCCAAACGGGUAUAGGUAAGCUUUGUAAUUUUCCCGCCGGAAACCGCCGCUUCGCUUUUACUUAUUAGCAAGUAAGACAUUGCGCAACAAACUUUCCAACGUCUUUCUUCAUGCCCGGCCACCAAUAAUGCAAUUUCAAAUCUUGGUACAUCUUGGUGCCGCCGAGGUGGACACUAUAAGGAGAUUGAUGCGCUUCUUGCAUAAUCGCCUUGCGGAUGUCCUUGUUCUUAGGAACACACCAACGAUUACGAAAUCGAAGGGUGCCGUCGGUCCCAAUGCCAAAAUCAUCGGCAUUACCGCUCUCAACUUCACCGCGCACCUUUCGGAGAUACUCAUCGGAAGCUUGUAGCUCUUUUAUCCUCUCCAACAAGGUCGGUUGCACCAUUAACGUGGCAAGUGUAGCCGGCACUCCCAGCGCUACUACUUCUAAUCCAAGCCGUUGCAUCUCUUUUUGCAAUAACGAUUGGGGUGUAAUUGCCGAAGCAAAGUUUUUUUUCCGAUUUUCUAUUAAGUGCAUCGGCCACGACAUUUACUUUUCCGGGGUGGUAUAGGAUAGUGACAUCAUAAUCGUUUUAGCAACUCUAACCACCGCCGUUGUCGCAUAUUCAACUCCUUUUGAGUGAACAAGUAUUUAAGGCUUUUGUGAUCCGUGUAGAUCUCACAAUGGUCCCCGUACAGGUAAUGCCUCCAUAGCUUUAGCGCGAAAAUAACCACCGCUAGCUCAAGAUCAUGAAUCGGGUAGUUCUUUUCAUAAGUCUUCAAUUGGCGCGAGGUAUAAGCUAUAACCCGCCCAUUUUGCAUCAAGACACACCCGAAACCAAUGUAUGAAGCAUCACUGUAUUCUACAAAAGUCUCCCCCGGCGUCAGCAAUGCAACCACCGGGGUCGUCAUCAACCUUUCCUUCAACUCCUUAAAGUUCCGAUCACAAUCGUCGCUCCACACAUAUUUUACUCCCUUGUGUGUAAGGCGCAUUAGUGGAGUGGUUAUUUUGGCGAACCUCUCCACGAACCGCCGAUAGUAGCCCGCUAGCCCAAGAAAGCUGCGGACCUCCGAUACACUCGUCGGGCAAGGCCAAUCUUUAAUUGCCUGAACUUUCUUUAGGUCUACCGAGAUGCCAUCACCGGAUAUAACGUGACCCAAGAAAGUAACCUCCGAAAGCCAAAAUUCACACUUCUUUAAUUUUGCAUAUAGCUUUUCCUUUCGGAGUGUCUCCAACACGAUCCUCAAAUGCUCCUCGUGUUUUUCCUCAGUCUGAGAAUAUACCAAUACGUCGUCAAUGAAUACCACGAUGCACCGGUCCAAUAGCGGACGAAAAACUCGAUUCAUUAAGUCCAUGAAAGCCGCCGGGGCAUUAGUAAGCCCAAACGGCAUAACCGUGAACUCAUAAUGGCCAUACCGCGUACGGUAUGCCGUUUUGUGCACAUCCUUGGGUCGUAUCUUCAACUGAUGAUACCCCGACUGAAGGUCUAUCUUUGAGUACACCCUCAACCCUUGCAACUGAUCGAAUAAAUCAUCAAUCCUCGGCAACAGGUAUUUGUUCUUAACCAUGACCUUGUUCAACUCGUGAUAGUCCACGCAGAGUCGAAGUGUGCCAUCCUUCUUUUUAACAAAUAGCACCGGUGCUUCCCACGGUGACACACUCGGCCUCACAAAGCCUUUAUUGAGCAAGUCUUGCAACUGGGCCUUUAGCUCCUUUAGCUCCGCCGGUGCCAUCCUAUACGGAGCCUUCGAAAUUGGCGCCGCCCCGAGAAUCAAGUCAAUGACGAAUUCGACUUUCCGGUCUGGUGGCAAUCCUGGUAACUCCGCCGGAAGCACAUCCGGAUACUCGCAUACAACCCGAAUGUUUCCCAAAUCCGGGUGCUCCUUUCGGGCAUCUACGAUGAUCGCCAAAUAGGCCUUACAACCACCCUUAAUCAUUUUCCUCGCCCUUGCCGUCGAUAUGGUCGCCGCAAAGCGCCUACUUUUGUAAGCCCGAUAUACUAACUCUUCUUGAUUAGGCUCACGGAACGUGAUCACCUUACUUUCGCAAUCUAUAACGGCAUAGUAUUUGGAGAGCCAAUUGAUCCCCAAAAUUAAAUCGAAGCCCCACAGCUGGUUUAACACCAAUAGGUCGAUCGGCAUGAUCCAAUCGCCUAUCUGUACCGGACAAUCCAAACACUCGUCAUGUACAUGGAACGAAAGUCCAGGUGUAUUCACCGUCCAAUAGUCCUCAUUAUGUGUGACCUCUAUGUCAUGAGCUAGUUCAAAUGAUGCCGAUAUGCAUAAAUGCGAUGCACCAGUGUCAAAUAACGCUCUAGCUCUAGUGCCUCUAUCAAGAUAAUACGUGCCACAACAUCGUCGGGGACUAGAAUUGGCUCCUCCACCUGAGUGGCAAAAACCCGCCCUCUCGGUGCUCUAGAUGCCUCCGGCUAUUGCGAUGCAGAAGAGCGUCCAGCAGACAUAGCCGGUGGUAAUCACGCAAGCUGUCUUGGUGUCACGCCGCGCGACCGCCCGCCUAUUUGGCCGGGUCGCGGCACGCCGACAGACCGCCGAACGGACAAGGUUUUCCCUGUACCGCGGACAGAGUCUCCCCCGUACAUUCAAGGCGUCGCAAUCAAUACAAUAUACAAAGUUCCAACCAGGAACACAUUUCAAUCAAAAAUUGCAUAAGGAAGUAUCAAAAACAUAAUCUACUUGUUAUUGCAAGCAUUCACAUUCAUACAUUUUACAUCCCAAAUACUUAUUACAUUCAACUUUCAAAUACAAUCCGAUUUAACAUGAUUAUUACAACUUGAUUCUUUUCAUUUUCUGCAACCUUAAGCAAAGCCGAUUCAGGGUACCGCUAUCUCUGGUCUCGGUGGUAGGGUGCUAACUAUGAUGCUACGCCCUCGCCUCGCGCCGCCGCGCCGCUCACGUGUGAACCUGUAACACCCCAAAACCACGUGGGGUGAGAACCAACUCCAUGGUUCCCAGUGGGUACGGCCACCCAAGGGAAAAGCUCGACCAAUAGGUCCAAGGGAGGCAACUGCAAGUUAGUUCAAUAAACAGAUAGAUAUGUAUCUUGAUUAUGCAACGAAUAAAACCAUGCAUUGCCUCACGAAUGCAAUAUGAAGAUCAUGCAAUGAUGCGACUAUACAAUCAACUAGUAAUUCAAUCGAUUACUACUUUCAUCCAAUUGAUAUUUAAGGUUUUCUGUCAUUUACCAUUUUAAUCAUAAAGUUUCAUCUAUCUUUACAAAGCUAACUAUCCGACUCGGUCUUGAGUCAAUCGUCUGCGGAGUACCGCACAAAGCCAGGCCCGAGGCGAAGGACGUCUCACUUGCACCUCGGCCUUAAAUCCCCUCAACUAGGACAUCACUAUAGCUCAUAAGUUUAUUACCCAAUCACUUGGCUAACCCGAAGGUUUCGCCCUCAACAAACUCACCAAUCCAAAAUCCCAUUAACCAGGGAGAUACUCGCUACAACCCGGUGGGACCGUCCUCUCGGGAGAUAACCGCUACAACCCAGUGAUGUCGACUCCGGAGCACAUCGCCCGAGGGGGAGCUACCACAACCUCGAGCAAAGACUAAAGGUGAGUAUGAUCAAUGAUCAAAUCCAAAAUCUUCAGGAUGUCAAGUUCAAUCCAUUCCUUAACUUUAGGAAGACUAUGCUCAAAUGACCCUAACUCUAGGGUUGAAAAGUCAUAAUAUUUCAAUCAUUCUUUUCUUUACAUUCUUUACUAUCACUUGUGUCAUAUACACUACUAUAUUCUUGGACUCAUGCCAUACUUGUUUUCUAAGUGUUCAACAUGCUAUAAGUGUUUCCACUAUACUAAUCAUAUGCCACUCGAUCUAAUAUAUAUAGAUUGUCCACGUCACAUAUCAUAGUUCAUAUGUCAUUGUUUUUCAAUGUCGAGUUCCCUAAUUCACCUAGAGUUUAUCGACCCAAGUUCAACAUGCAUGUGUCAUUUAACAUAAUCCACAAUAUGUCAAUAUACAUUCAUCUAGUAUAUUCUAUAAUAAAUCAACAUGCACUCAUUCAUCAUAUUCCACAAUAUGUCUACAUAUAUAUGCCAACCAUUCAUAUGCCAUCCAACAUGUUCCAUAAUUUAUCAACAUGCAUAUUACCUCUAACAUAUUACUAUAACAUUAUUUUCAUGCAUUCAUGUAACAAUUAACUCAUGCAUUCAUCUAGCAUUUAACACAUUAUAUGUCAUUAUGCAUGUUAUCUCAACAGUAAGUAACAUCGACUAUAUGCAUCAAUUAGAAAACCAUUACUCUUAGACAUAUAGGCGACCUAGUCGCUUUGGUGAGUACAACCCACCUCAUUUCGCAUUCCGAUUGCUUGUCGACACUUGCAAUCGGCCUCCCGCGGCACCCGGCACCCGGUUUGGCCCGAUCUCUUGCGCGACCACCCGAACGGCCUCCAAUUCACAAUCCGAAAAUUAAAGGUCUUCGGUUAUGUGCCACGAUGCUUCAAAUCCGUUUUCAUGAGUAUACGAUGUCGUCUCGGCCCUCCAGGCGGAAACGAAGCCUAAACGUCUGUUUCUUUAAUAACUUCGCAACGGCUCAACGAAUCGCCGAACCGACUUCGCCAACGCGUUCGUUUACCUAGCAAUUAGGUUUACGGAGGGUCAAAUUAGAUCAAACCCUUAUAUUUUAAAAAACCCAUUCGGAGCCCUAAUAUGCAAUUAACUUCCAAUUAAUCCAAAUUAAAUGGAGAUAACAUGUUUAGAACACUCUAGAUACUACUAGAACAUCAUUCAUGAAGGAUUUAAACAAAAUCCCAAACUCUUACCAAAACGUGAACGCCGCGACGAAAACACGCCGCUCCAACGGGCGCACGAAAGCUCGAUCCGUCGCUCCCAACGCGUUCGCAAGCAUCUUCUCCGCCAACACCGCGAAUUUGAGCGAGAGAUAUAGAGAGAUGAGAGAGAAAUCUAGAGAGAGAAAGAAAGCUUUCUCUCUUCCCACCAUGUAUGCGGGUUGGUGGUGGCGUGUAUGGUGGUCGGCAGAAGGACAAGAAGCAAAAGCUUCUUUAUACAUUACACCCCAAAACACUAUUCACUCCAGGGCAGUUUAGCAGUUCGGAACAGUUGGAGCCCUUCUGAAUGUCCGUUUGGGCUCAAAUUUGACAGGCAGGCUCGGUUUAACGUACUGAGUAAGAAUAUAUCUUAAGUUUUCAGUUUUGACCUCGUUUGGUCACUGAAAACUGUACCGAACUGUAAUCUUUAUCAGAUAGCCGUCAGAUUUUAUUUCUCACUCUACGGGUGUCAGAAAAAUAUGAAAUUUCAAAUCUAGCCUCAUAAAAAUAUUUCUGACUUAUCCUCCAAUUUUCAUAAUUUUCUGAGACUGUGCAUUUUCUGCUAAUUUAUCUGUCCCGUUUCCAACAGAAAAUUCUAAAUCUUCUGUUUCCAGUCCGAUUUCAGCACAAGUCAUUUCUGACUUAUAUUUUACUCCUCUAAAUCCAAUAAAAAUAGUUUCUCACACUAUUUUUAUUUAUUUUUAUUUUUACACCAAAAUCUGGUAUGUUACACUUGGAGUAGAAGGAACUGACGCCGACGUCGGUGCAGACGACCCCCAAUUAGGGCACUCCCAAGCCAUAUGCCCCGCUUGGCCGCACUUGAAGCACUUUCCUUCGUGUUGCGGGCAAGUCGCCGGUCGAUGCUCACCGCCGCAAAUAACGCAUCGAGAAGGCCUCCAAGUCUUUGACUGCUGUCGAGGAUACCGAGAGGGUUUGUUAGCAUUGAGCCGGCCUCCGGCACCGCCCGCCGCCCGCUUCUUUCCUUUAUCCUUUGACUCCACCAUAGUCUCGCGCCCCUCGCGCUCGUGGGCAUAGCCAUGCUCCGCCCACAAGGCUCGAUCAAAGACCUCAGCAAAGGUCGUAAGCUUAAGGAUCUGCACGGCCCUAUGAAUCCCCAGCUGAAGUCCUCGCAAGAACCAAUCGGCCCCGUCCCGGUCAUCACGAACAACCUCCAGGACGCAAUCGAUAAGGUGGGAGAACUCCUGCUCGUAGUACGCCACGGAGUGAUCCCCUUGCCUCAACUUGCAAAAUUUUUCUUUCAACUUCCGCUUCACUGUGUCGGGGAAGUAAUUGGCGAACACCGCCCUCUUGAACUCCUCCCACAAUAUAGGCGGAAGAUUGGGAGAUUGAUCCCGCCUAACACGCUUCUACCACACCUUUGCCGCCUUUUCAAGGCAAUGUGUGGCGAGGUACACCUUGUCCUUCUCUAGGGUGUUUAGGUCUUCGAAAAGUGUCUCUAUGGAGUCAAUCCAUGCCUCCACUACCGCCGGUUCCACCACCCCCCCUUCAAAGACAGGUGGGUUGAACUUCUGAAACUGAAUGAGAGCCGCCAACGCGCGCUCCCGCUCCGCCCCUUCCGCCGUACUAUCGGCAUUUGAGGUCCCCUAUCCGGCCGGUAUCGCCGUAACUGGAAUGGCCGCCGCAGCCACACGCUCCGCUACGAUCGGCACCACCGCAGGGGGCGCAGGGUGCACGGCCUCCAUAGGCGCCGCCGCCGCCGCCUGCUGCCGCUCCAAGGCCUCCUGGAGCCUCUAGAUUUGCUCCCCUUGGCGCUGAACGGACUCCGCUUGUUGCCGCACUACGCCAAUAAGUGCGGCCAUUUGCUCCCGAAGCUCCCCGUCGCCACAUGCUCCGGGUUGCGCGGGAGCCGCGCUUGGCUCCUCGGCCAUAGACCUCGUCCGCGGUCGACCACGAGGCAACUUACGUCGUCCAUGAGAUGGCAUUGCUCCCUGAAAUGAAGCAAUUCACGUUAAUUACUUGACAAAUAUAUAUACGAACGCACCCAAUCCGGCGAAAGCAACAAGUGUAUUUAUUUUUCCUUCCAAAGCAUCAUGUCGUCGGCCGCCAAUCACAACACAAGGAAAAAAAAAAUAACAACUUAAAUUUAGUCUCUAACCACAUUAGCGACAUGCUAACAUUAACCCAAUCAUAAGCUUUCGGUAUAUUUCAAUUCCACGCCACUCACGUUUCCUAGAUCCUUAAGGUUUUCCAUUCCCAAGGGUCCCUAGGUCCAUCUACACUUUCACUUUAGACACUUUACCCUCUGAUACCAUUAUAUCUGUCACGCCCCAAACCCGGUCCUAUUUGGCCGGUUCGGACCCGUCGAAAAGACGCCGAACGGACAGAGCCUCCCCUAUCCGUCCAAGGCUCCACAACAAGUAUCAAUAGAGUGUAAAAUUUGCAUAAGCGGAAGCAUACACAAUGGCUUGCACGAGAGCAAGUAAUAGCCAAAGUGAAAGUACGGUCUACUCGACAUACAAGUAAUAUGAUUAACUUUAAAUCACAUACAUGCAUACGACUUUAAUUAAAUUCUUUACAUUCCUUGCAUCAUUUCUUUUUAUAUCACAUGAUCUUAAUACAAUUACCUUAAACAUCUAUAAUCAUCAAACACAAAAGAGGAUAAAAUGGGGUAUGCAACUACAAAAUGUAAAAAUAUCUCGGGCGGUCUCUGUCUAGGGUGCGAUACGGUUACCGCGAUCGCCCGCCGGCUUGCUCGGCCCUGGCUCUGUGGAAAUAGUGGGGAGAGAACUACAACGAAGUUCCCAGUGGGUUCGGCCCCGAUCUCGUCGACUUUCCCACUAGGUCUAAAUCAGGCAUAAUAGAAGAAAGAAUAGAUAAUAACCAACUAACAAAUGCAGCUAAUAUGCCUGAACAAUAAACAAUGGUAUGCACGAUAGAAUGCUCAUGAUGAAUGCAAGAUUACAUUUUCAUUGCCCAAUCUCAUGGCUAGCCCGUGGGUUUCGCCCUCAGCAAACUCACCAAUUCUAAAUCCGAGUAUCGAGGAGAAACUCCUACGACCCGACAGGACCGUCCUCUGGGGAGAAACUCCUACGACCCAGUGAUGACUACUCCGGAGCUCAUCGCCCAAGAGGGAGCUACUACCCUUCGAGCAAGGACUAACAGGCGAGUAUGAUCCAAUCCUUAACUUUAAGAAUUUCGAAUUAAAUCAAUUCCUUGACUUCAAAGAAGCAAUACUCAUAUGUUGCUAUCUCUAUUUACUUUCAUUCCUUACUUAUAGUAGUGUCAUGUACACUACUUUAUUCUUGUACUCUCAUUGAUGCCACACUUGUUUUCUAAGUGUUCAUAUCACGCCCCGGGACUGGCGGAGGCCUUUCCGAUAGCGCGCCCAGACCCGCCAUAUGCCUACACAUAUAAGGCGUCUACAACAAAAGCGAAAAAAUAAGAUAAGAGAUGAACUACAUCUAGAGAUAUCAGAACAAGUAUACAUCUAGAAUCUAUAGUAGGUAGAACACAACUAAACAAUAAAAGUAAAGCAUAAAGUUAUACAGUAUCCAUCUCAAAAGUACAAAAAGGGGUGGUCUCUACAAAUGGUACAAAUCUCACAACCUCUCCAAAAAAAAAAAAGAGAGGUGGACCCCCUAUCCAAUAAUCCCUCGCUAGCUAGCCCAAGGCGAUUCCUUUCCCGCGAUCCCGAGCCUCUCCCGGAGUGGAAGGCUCUGAAAGAAAAUAUAAAACAGGGGGCGUGAGAACUAUAAUUUAUAGUUCCCAGUGGGCAAUUACUGACCUUAGCAAAAUACACCACUAGGCCCAAGUUAUGAGCAGAUAUAGAAAAUGAAAUAACAACUGCGGAAAUAAAAGAAUAUAAUGAAAUGCUAUAAUACUAUGCCACAAGUAUACAUGAUAUGAACAUGGAGUACAUCUACUCUAUCAUGAAUCCAAUAUGCCGAUACAUAAUAAGUAUGCUCUAUCAUGGCUACCAAGUAAGCUGUAAUGCAACAGGUAAUACUAUCAAGUAUACAAUAUGUCCCAAAACUCAAUACAUAUCUAGUAUGUACUAUCAUGGCAACUAAGGGUACCACAAAUCCCAAUGUCAGCUAAAUCCAACUACGAUAUACUAUCAAGUAGUGAUUGUCAUUUAAUUGAUUAAGGUUCAUCAUUCAAUCUCAUCCAGGACCAACACAUGUGUAGUCCAACUUGUGCCGCCUAGCUCCCGGUGGUAGCUCCAACAUCCCCGCUCGAGGAAUGAGACUGUCCCACCCGACCCUAUAGGCGCCUCGCCGCCUAGCUGCCCGUGGUAACUCGUCAUCCCACUCUGGAAUGAGACUGUCCCACGCGACCCUACAGGCGUCUCAAUCCCGCACGCACGAACUGCGUCGCAAAAGGCCAACUCCGGAGUGCCGGCUUGUAGGGAGCAACCCUCACAAGCAUGUGCAAAUGAGCACAAAUGGCAAGUAAUCAUAAUCAUCAUAUCAUGGAUCUCGUCAUCAUGUCUCUCACAUGGAAUAGCAACUCAACAGUCAUCAUGUCUCUAACAUGGAAAUGCUCACUAGUAACCCCAAAGGUCUAGUCUAUGCCUAAAGUGAAUGUUGACUAAGUUCACUAUAUCCAAUGCCUCUUUAUGGCAUUAUCUCACUAUGCCCCAAAACCAUCCCAAGCCUAAUGCCGCUUUAUGACAUUAGCUUACCAAGUCCAAUCUCUAGUCCGAGCCUAAUGCCGCUUUAUGACAUUAGCUUACUACUUACAUACACUCUAACCUAUGUCACUUAAUGACAAUAUGUGGAACCAUGCCAGGCAUGCGUUCCAACCUAUAUGUCAUAUGCACUACAUGCAACAUGAUCUCAAUCAAAUGUAAGAAUGCUAACCAUAUGCAAGGUUUCAAAUAUGAACAGUUCUCUUCUACAUAGAGGUCCAAUGUACUUUAUACAUAACAUGCACAUAUUAAGUAUUCUAAAAUUCUCAAAUAUUCUAUCUAGUAAGAAUAUGCAUGCAUUUUUAUUUUACGAAAAGUAAAACCUAUUAGAGGGAUGAUUUAUCUCAUUUUGGUGAGGCCAAACCCACCGAGAGUUCCACACGGCCUUAGUUUUGCCGAAAGAAGGUGCCCACAAGCCUCCUAACUCCCUAGAGCUUAAAUUAGGAGUGUCACAUGCAUCGAACGAACAAUGACAAGUUCAAACAUUAACCAUCUCAAGAUAAGGGCAAAAUUGCACCUAAGUAUAGAAAAUCCCUUUCAAGCUCCAAAUGGGAGCUAGAACCCUUCCAAACCAAGCUAGAGAAAGGUUCUAAUUCAAUCAAUUGAGCUCCAAAAGCCCUAGAUCAAAAAUCUCCAAAUCAAACCUAAAUCCUCAUUUUUUAGUGUUUUAUACAAACAUCAUGAAAAUCAUGAUAAAAAAAGAAAUAGAAAGCAACUAGCCUCUCAUGAAGCCCCAAACAAGGUUCAAAACCCACUAGGGUUGAAGAUCACCUCCCUCACAAGCUCAACUCCAAGCGCCCAAGCUUCUCCUAUGGUGGAAAAGUCACCAAAAAGCGAAAAGAGAACAAAAGAGGGAAUUAAACCUAAAAAAUCUCAACCAAAAGAAAAAAAAAGAAUGAGGGGAAGAGGAGAGCUCCCUCACCUUCUUCUCCACUGCUGGCAAGCCCAGGAAACACCAAGGGGCAUGGGGUACACAUAUAGUGUUGCUACAAUAGCAAAAAUACCCCUGCAGUUCAAGCAGUCUGCGGACUGCACUGCGUACCAGUACACAGGGUUGCGUACCGGUACACACCCCACGAAAAUGCCAAACCCGAGCCUCGGGUUGGCUGAGAAGCUGCCCGUGUACCGGUACACGGCCCCGCGUACCGGUACAACCAUCACCCCGUACCGGUACAGCCAUCAACCCUAUACCGGUACACAGCCUGCUGAAGGCUACCCGAGAGCACACCAAUAAUCCAACUUUUUGGAUUUUGGUGCAAAGUUUUAAACAACAAAUCUCAGAAUACGAGCCAUUGGUCGGAACACUGUCGACGACCCUCCAGAAUAUCUGGAAAAACUCGGAACACAGAUUAAACACUCGAACCUUGCCAUUUGCGAAAGUCCAGCGUGUUACAUUCUCCCCUCCUAAAAAGGAGUUUCGUCUGGAAAACUGCGGGUCAACCACAUAACAAACCCAUCCGAAGAGGAUGGAAGAAGCGCUCCAGCAGCGCCCCAAACAGACCUUGGAGGUCUCAAGUGUGCCGGAAAACUCCAAGGCACAAACACAACAAGAUCUCGCGACGUUAAGGCUUGGCAUAACACAACCGAAACUUCCGCAAAAGCUUCUUGAACUCAAGUCUUCACCGGAAGUUUCAUCUCCAAUCCGCACUUGUUCAACGAGUCCAUCAGUUGGUCCUCACGAACUCAAGUGUUUCCAAAAGCUGAAUUCGAAUUCUCACCUUUCUCGUCCAAGCCGAGGGUAGAGCCUUACUCUGCUUCAAUUACUCUAGUAUAUAGGAUUCCAUCCAAAUACCCCUCAAGGUGGAUUCAAUGGUACUGUCCAAAGCAAGCGUCAGGGGGUUAAAUCCAUUACUCAUCUAUCAAAACACCAUCGGAGUGCUCAUCUGAUCAACACUCACCAAGGAGAGGUGAUACAACAUCCGCUCAUCAGCUCAUAUUCCAACGAUGAUCCUUCAAAUCCAAGAUCAAGUCUCUUCUCGAGAUGGCACAACUGAGUGCAAUUCAAUCCAAGGUUAAGUAUGGUGCACCCCUUCCAUCUCGUUGCUAUUUGCAACGUCCAUCCAUCCGUCCAAUCUUGCUUGGCACGAACGAUUCUAAACCAACAUCCAAGAUAGCCAACCUUCCAGUAGUAAUAGAAACCGACGAAUCGUCUAACUCGCUCACCAAAGGUGAUCACUUGAUUCCUCAAUCGGCACGGCACUACGAUGCCUCCACAUCAAUCUCAAACUCACCACCCGGGAGUACCCUCAAAUCCUCUGCAAUACAUGGUCAGGGACCAAAGCUCAAAAGCUUCGUCAUUCCACUAAGAUCAUCAUCUUAGUCUCAACUCAAGUCCAAGUAAACUCUUCGCAAGCCUAAGCCAAAGGCUCAACUUNCCGGGAGUACCCUCAAAUCCUCUGCAAUACAUGGUCAGGGACCAAAGCUCAGGAGCUUCGUCAUUCCACUAAGAUCAUCAUCUUAGUCUCAACUCAAGUCCAAGUAAACUCUUCGCAAGCCUAAGCCAAAAGGCUUAACUUUGAUAGAAUGUCUCAUACAUUAAUCAUUCAGUUGCUCCAUAAGAAUCAUUCAAAAAUUCUCAUCCUCAAUGCUUUCCUUAGCAUCGGAUGCUCCAGGUGUUCCUAGUCACCGAGCCCAUCUCAAGUGAUAGAGAUGGAUCAAUCCGCAAUUCAAUAAUUGCUCUCUAUCAAUGUCAUCCUAAUGUGACCAUCAACCAAAAAUAUCAAUCCAAACAACUCUCUCACGCAGUUCCAUCCCCCAAAAUUUGAUUCCUGGUGCAUAAACCGGGCAAGGAAAAAUAGCAGCUUGGUAUCUUUCUUUCUCGAGUUUCCCAACCACUCGAUCCAACAGUGAGAGUUUCACACAUCGAUCACGACAAUCUGCCCUGCAGUCGGUCCUCGCAAUCCUUCGUAGGAAUACUCACUGCUAUCCGCGACCGGUUCCACAAAUCAAUCCAAAGGGCUUGGAAUUAUCAUUCCACAAGUCCCUAACACUGGUAGAGUACUACAGGCUUAGGCAACAUUAUCCUCGUGAUGUCCCCACCUAGCAUCACAAUCCGUUUUGAGGUACGACCUCAAACUCUAACAUCAAACAGUACUACUCAGAUUACUUACAACCUUAUCGAGUACACCAACAACUCGAGGCCAUUUGACAAGGUCAAUGAGCCUCAGCACGGUCCAAACAUUCAAUCGUGGUUCAAUUUGAAUCACGAUAGUCGACACAUAGUCGAAACGGCCCAACCGGUCCCACAACAAGUGAGAGUGCUCCUCCGCGAAGCAAAACACUAACUAUAAAACCUCCCCGCCAAUCGAGUUCACGGUUUGUGACUUGGUCGGGGACACAAUGACAGAUCAAAGACAUCCUUCAUUCCGAGGAUCCUUGAUCACCAGAAAGUAAUGGCCAAUUAGGCCCCAAGUCCUCUCUAACACUUACCCAAUUUUAGGUAAGGGAGACAGUCAACGCAACUAGUGGAAAUAAAUCCUCAAAUCGCACUAUUUCGUGCUCAAAAUUCUCGAAACGAGUCAAGUCAGCUCGCAAUACCAAAGGUACCAAGUACCCACAAUCGCCACACCAAGUAAGGCCAAUCUAUUUGUUGGAGCACAAAAUCCUCUCACAGGGUAGGGUGUUCAAAACGACACACCCGGUUAUCCGAUCAUCCUACGUGCAUCGAAAAUGAUCAAUGCAAACAAAUUCUCGGGUCGGGUCACUACACACUCGGUGUAUCCUCGAUCUCACGGUCUAACAAGUGGCAUACCACGCUCCCGGGUCUAAGCUCGGACUACCGUUCUGACCAAAACUCUGCCCUACCCUUAGGUACCGGGCUACUGUCGUACACAGUUGAUUGCGCUUGCCCAAAGGGCCCAGGCUCCACAGUCCACAAACGGUCCAGGCACGGGACGUCCCGAAGCUCCAACCGGCAAACAGCCGACCAAAGGAUGCAAACAAUGCAAUCGUCGUGAGAUCCACAAAGCAUAAAAAAACAUGCUACCCGCAACCCGCAAAUCAACCUCCUAGCUCAAGAGGAGCUACUCGUCGUCGCAAACAGCGAACCAACGGAAUGCCAUGCAAUUCGACAAAUAGCCGAUCAAAGAAUAGAUGCAAUGCACUGGUAUAAAACAAUGCACAAAUGGAAUGCCACAAAACAGCUGUAGCCACAAGGUCGGCUGCUGCCGUCUCCACGGUUUCGGCCGCAUACAUGCGCCCGAUCGGGGCCGGCCGCGACCCCUCCGUCUGUCUCUGGACAGGUGGCCUCCCGGCCUGAUAGUGAGCAGAAGGCGUCCCCUGGCUGGGACCCGGUAAAGCUGGUGCCGAUGCUGAAGAUGGCGCUGGUGCUGAGCCCUUCGGGCAGUCCGACCGGAAGUGACCCUCCUGGCCACACGAGUAGCACCUGCCCCGUCCUUGCGAACACUGUCGUGGGUAGUGACGACCACCGCAGAUCACGCAGCUCAGAGUCUGACGACGCUCAGGUCCUCCCUGCUGUGCAGAUGUGCCCCAUCCUCGCGACUGGCUCCUAUUCCUAGGAUGUCUCGGCGGCCUCUAAGAGUGUGUCUGACUUGCACCCUCAGCCGCGGGCCGUUAGCCCUUUCCUUUGUCCGAGCCAUCUCGACGCUCCAGCAAGUCCGCCGCGCCGCUCUCCACGAUGAGCGCACGGUUCNUCUCAAGUGAUAGAGAGGAAUCAAUCCGCAAUUCAAUAAUAGCUCUCUAUCAAGGUCAUCCUGAUGCGACUGUCCAGCCAAAGUCAAUCCUAUAAGUCCUCAUAUGCAGUUCUAUCCCGAAGAACUCAAUUCCUUGCACACGCUCCUGACAAGGGGAAUUAGUAACUUGGUACCUUCCCUCUCGCGAGUUUUUCAUCCAUCAGUGAGAGUUCCCCAACUCGAUCACGACAAUCUGCCUCUGCAGUCGAUUCUCGUAAUCUUCAUCGAAAUACUCACGGCUAUCCGCGACGGUUCCACAAAUCCAUCCAAAGGGCUUUGAAUUAUCAUUCCAUAAGUCCCUAACACUGGUGGAGUACCACAGGCUCAGGCAACAUCACAAUAAUUCUCGUGAUGUUCCAACCCAGCAUCAAAAUCUGUUUGAGGUACAGCCUCAAACUCCAACGCAAAUAGGAGUACUUAGAUUGCAUAACAAUCCUAUCGAGCACACCGACAACACUAGGCCAAUUGAAAGAUCAACGUGCCUCAACAGCUAUCCGAACGUUAAUCGUGAUUCACUUUAGACCACUAUAGUCGACAUACAGUCAGAAUGACCUAUCUGGUCCCACAACAAGUGAGAGUGCUUCUCCACGAAGCAAAACACUAGAUACUAGAAUCUCUCCGCCAAUCGAGCUUACUAUUUGUGGCUCGGUCGGGGGCACAACCACAGAUCAAAGACAUCCUUCAUUCCGAGGAUUCUCGAUCACUAGAAACUAAUGGCCAAUUAGGCCCCAAAUCCUCUCCAACACUUACCGAAUUUUAGGUAAGGGAGACAGUCAACGCAACUAGUGGAAAUAAAUCCUCAAAUCGCACUAUUUCGUGCUCAAAAUCCUCGAAGCAAGUCAAGUCAGCUCGCAAUCCAAGGGUACAAAGUACCCACAAUAACUCCACACCAAGUAAGGCCAAUCCAUUUGUUGGCGCACACAACCUCCUCACAAGGUAGGGUGUUCGAAACGACACACCCGAUCACCUGAUCAUCUCACAUGCAUCGGAAGGAACAACACUAGCAAAUCCUCGGGUUGGGUCACUACACACUCGAUGUAUCCUCGAUCUCACGAUCCAUCACGUGGCAUUCUACGCUCAAGGGUCUAAGCUUGGACUACCGUCCUGACCAAAACUCUGCCCUACCCGUAGGUACCGGGCCGCUGUCACACACAGCUGACUGCGCCUGCCCAAAGGGCCCAGGCUCCACAGUCUAUAAACGGUCCAGGCACAGUAGUCUCCAAGCACUAUCCGGCGAACGUCCGAUCAAGAGAUGCAACUAAUGCAAUCAUCGUGAAAUUCACAAAGCAUAGGAAAACAUGCCACCCACAACCCGCAAAUCAACCGCCUAGCUCAAGAGAGCUGAAAGUCAUUGCAAACAGCGAACUCUGGCAUCCUCGGUACACAACCUCCUCCUGUCCCAAAUAGGGCAACAGGGGCAGACUCUCUAAUGUCUAAGGAGUAGUCGGAGAAACACGCAUCUCGGAUGCAACAGGUCUAAUAGGAUGCCAUGCAACUCGGCAAACAGCCGAUCGAGGGAUGCAAAUAAUGCAAGGAUAUCCAACAAUGCACAAUUCGGAUGUCACAAAACAAUUGAUACUUGUAGCCACCAAUUCGGCUGCUACCGCCUCCGCGGUCUGGGCCGCAUACAUGCGUCGCUCGGGGCCUGCCGUGACCCCUCCAUCUAUCUCGGGACAGGUGGCCUCCCGGCCUGAUAGUGAGCAGAAGGCGUCCCUUGGCUGGGACCCGGUAAUGCUGGUGCUGAUGCUGAAGAUGGCGCUGGUACUGAACCGCUCGGGCAGUCUGACUGAAAGUGACCCUCCUGGCCACAUGAGUAACACCUGCCCUGCCUCUGCGAGCAUUGCCGUGGGUAAUGACGACCACCGCAGAUCACACAGCUCAGAGUCUGACGACGCUCAGAUCCUCCCUGCUGUACAGAUGUGCCCCGUCCUCGAGACCAGCUCCUAUUCCUGGGAUGUUUUGGCGGCCUCCCAGAGUGCGUCUGACUCGCACCCUCGAUCGUGGGCCUUUUGCCCUUUCCUUUUUCCAAGCCUUCUCGGCGCUCCUGCAAGUCUGCCGCGCCGCUCUCCACAAUGAGCGCGCGAUUCACCACCUCCCGGUAGGUUUGGAGGUUGGAAGACUGAACAAACCGGAAGAUCGAAGACCGCAAUCCCCGCUCAAAGAUGCGGGCCUUAUCCUCGUCGUCCCGAACAACGAAGGGCACACAAUGUAGAAGCCAGGAGAACUCCCUCUCAUACUCGGCCACUGUCCUGUCCCCCUGGCGCACGUUGCGCAGAUCCUGCUCCAUCUUUCUCUUGACGCUGUCAGGGAAGUAAUGCUCCAGUAGGAGUUCCUUGAACCUCCUCCAUAUGAUCGCCGUAAGAUCUAUGCGGGGGUCGUCCUGAAUGUCCAUCCACCAUCGGUAGGCCUCGCCGUCAAGGUGAGGUGUCGCGAGCCACACUCUGUCCCGCUCUUCAACAAAGGUAUCCCGAAACAGCUUCUCUAUAUGCAUAAGCCAUUUCUCCAUGAUCCAAUGGUCCACGUUCUCCCCGUCGAAGGUCCGUUGACUGCAUCUCCUGAACUCACUGAGACGUUCCAUAAGUCGAUCGCGCACCGCUCCCUCGACCAUCACGGAAAAAACUGCCCCCGCUACAGGUACUCGAGCCGAUGGUGCCACAACGUCCUUCUCCCGAGGCGCCGCCGCUGGUGCCGUCCGAGAGGUGUCGAGUGCAGGGAAUGACACCCUGGGCGCAACCGCCUCUACCGGUGCGGGUGAUGUAGGGACCCGAGUCUCCCCGGUAGCAGCCUGCUGCAACAAAAGAUCCUCCAGGUGCUUCAUCCGCGUCUCCUGUCGAAGUGCCGUGUCCGCCUCUUGCGUCACCAAAUCAGUGAGGGCUGCCAGCUGGCCCCUCAACUCACGAAAUUCGCCGGAUCCGGAGGUAGCAGAUGUCUCCGCCUUCUCAAAGGUUGUCGCAUUGUCCGCUCCAACAGACUUAGAGCGUGUAGUAGGCAUCGACACUACAACAUCAUAAAAGCGCAAAUUAAUAAAACUCACGCUAUCAAAUCCCUGCUCAAAUAGACCAAACCCAAAUCAUGCGAAAGUAAGGAAGUGUUAUCCACAACUAACUCCCGAUGUUACAUUGUCGGCCGUCAACGUAACCCUCCGCGAAGUUAGAAGCCAUACACUCUGAUCAACUCCAACUUCUUAUAGUUAUCAUAAAACCCAAUCAUAAUAUUUUCGCUUACAAGUCAAAUAGACCUCGUCUCUCACGAGCCUAUUUUCUAUAGUCCAACCGGCCUAAGGUUUUCUAGGUCCAUUAAGACUGAACCCUAGGCUCUGAUACCAAAUUAAUCUGUCACGCCCCGGGACCGCGGAGGCCUUCCCGGUAGGGCGCCCAGACCCGCCAUAUGCCUACACAUAUAAGGUGUCUACAACAAAAGCGGAAAAAUAAGAUAAGAGAUGAACUACAUCUAGAGAUAUCAGAGCAAGUAUACACCUAGAACAUAUAGUAGGUAGAACAUAACUAAACAAUAAAAGUAAAGCAUAAAGUUAUACAAUAUCCAUCUUAAAAGUACAAAAAUGGGUGGUCUCUAUAAAUGAUAAAAAUCUCUCAACCUUCCGAAAAAGAAACAAAAGAGAGGUGGACCCCCUAUCCAAUAAUCCCUCGGUAGCUAGCCUGAGGCGAUUCCUUUCCAGCGAUCCCGAGCCUCUCCCGGAGUGGAAGGCUUUGAAAAAAAACAUAAAACAGGGGGCGUGAGAACUAUAAUUUAUAGUUCCCAGUGGGCAAUUACUGACCUUAGCAAAAUGCACCACUAGGCCCAAGUCAUGAGCAGAUAUAGAAAAUGAAAUAACAACUGUGGAAAUAAAAGCAUAUAAUAAAAUACUAUACUACUAUGCCACAGGUAUACAUGAUAUGAACAUGGAGUAUAUCUACUCUAUCAUGAAUCCAAUAUGCCGAUACAUAACAAGAAUGCUCUAUCAUGGCUACCAAGUAAGCUGUGAUGCAACAAGUAAUACUAUCAAGUAUACAAUAUGUCCCAAAACUCAAUACAUAUCUAGUAUGUACUAUCAUGGCAACUAAGGGUACCACAAAUCCCAAUGUCAGCUAAAUCCAACUACGAUAUACUAUCAAGUAGUGAUUGUCAUUUAAUUGAUUAAGGUUCAUCAUUCAAUCUCAUCCAGGACCAACACAUGUGUAGUCUAACUUGUGCCGCCUAGCUGCCGGUGGUAGCUCCAACACCCCCCCUCGAGAAAUGAGACUGUCCCACCCGACCCUACAGGCGCCUCGCCGACUAGCUGCCCAUGGUAGCUCGUCAUCCCACUCUGGAAUGAGACUGUCCUACGCGACCCUACAGGCGUCUCAAUCCCGCACGCGCGAACUGCGUCGCAAAAGGCCAACUCCGGAGUGCCGGCUUGUAGGGAGCGACCCUCACAAGUAUGUGCGAAUGAGCACAAAUGGCAAGUAAUCAUAAUCAUCAUAUCACGGAUCUCGUCAUCAUGUCUCUAACAUGGAAUAGCAACUCAACAGUCAUCAUGUCUCUAACAUGGAAAUGCUCACUAGUAACCCCAAGGGUCUAGUCUAUGCCUCAAGUGAAGGUUUAAUAAGUUCACUAUGUCCAAUACCUCUUUAUGGCAUUAUCUCACUAUGCCCCAAAACCGUCUCAAGCCUAAUGCCGCUUUAUGACAUUAGCUUACCAAGUCCAAUCUCUAGUCCCAGCCUAAUGCCGCUUUAUGACAUUAGCUUACUACUUACAUACACUCUAACCUAUGUCACUUAAUGACAAUAUAUCCAACCAUGCAAGGCAUGCGUUCCAAGUCCAAGAGUGUAACCUACAUGUCAUAUGCACUACAUGCAACAUGAUCUCAAUCAAAUGUAAGAAUGCUAACCAUAUGCAAGGUUCCAAAUAUGAACAGUUCUCUACUACAUAGAGGUCCAAUGUACUUUAUACAUAACAUGCACAUAUUAAGUAUUCUAAAAUUCUCAAAUAUUCUAUCUAAUAAGAAUAUGCAUGCAUUUUCAUUUUGCGAAAAGUAAAACCCAUUAUAGGGAUGAUUUAUCCCAUUUUGGUGAGGCCAAACCCACCGAGAGUUCCACACGGCUUUCGUUUUGCCGAAAGAAGGUGCCCACAAGCCUCCUAGCUCCCUAUAGGUUAAAUUAGGAGUGUCACAUGCAUCGAACGAAUAAUGACAAGUUCAAACAUUAACCAUCUCAAGAUAAGGGCAAAAUCUCAUCUAAGUGUAGAAAAUCCCUUUCAAGCUCCAAAUGGGAGCUAGAACCCUUCCAAACCAAGCUAGAGAAAGGUUCUAAUUCAAUCAAUUGAGCUCCAAAAGCCCUAAAUCAAAAGUUUCCAAAUCAAACCCUAUAUCCUCAUUUUUUAAGGUUUUAUACAAACAUCAUGAAAAUCAUGAUCAAAUAAGAAAUAGAAAGCAACUAGUCUCUCAUGAAGCCCCAAACAAGGUUCAAAACCUACUAGGGUUGAAGAUCACCUCCCUUACAAGCUCAACUCCAAGCUCCCAAGCUUCUCCCAUGGUGGAAAAGUCACCAAAAAGCAAAAAGAGAGCAAAAGAGGGAAUUAAACCUCAAAAAGCUCAACCAAAAGAAAGAAAAAGAAAGAGGGGAAGAGGAGAGUUCCCUCACCUUCUUCUCCACUGCUGGCAAGCCCAGGAAACACCAAGGGGCGUGGGGUACACAUAUAGUGUUGCUACAAUAGCAAAAACACCCCUGCAAUUUAAGCAGUCUGCGGACUGCACUGCGUACCGGUACACGGGGUCGCGUACCGGUACACACCCCACGAAAAUACCAAACCCGAGCCUCGGGUUGGCUGAGAGGCUGCCCGUGUACCGGUACACGGCCUUGCGUACCGGUACAACCAUCACCCUGUACCGGUAUAGCCAUCAACCCUGUACCGGUACACAGCCUGCUGAAGGCUACCCGAGAGCACACCAAUAAUCCAACUUUUUGUGUUUUGGUGCAAAGUUUUAAACCACAAAUCUCGGGAUACGAGCCAUAGGUCGGAACACUGUCGACGACCCUCCAGAAUAUCUGAAAAAACUCGGAACACAGAUCAAACACUCGAACCUUGCCAUUUGCGAAAGUCCAGUGUGUUACAGUUCAUUUCUAGCAUUCUUAUCAUUUACUAAUGCCACACACUCUAGUAUUCAUUUGCAUACCUGACACCUACUAAUGCCACCCAAUCCAUAUGUCAUUACGUCAUUUUGAUUCUUUACCUCCUCUAGGUUCUUAUCACAUUUUAUGCAUACAUAGGGUUCUCAUAAUCUUAGUCUUUUACUAUUCUUUCACAUGCAUUUAUACUCGUAACAUAGAAGAAAAUACUUUCAAAUAACCCUACUAUGCUCAAUGCUCUCAAAUAAAUGACAGUUUAGACAUAAGAGAAAGUUCGAUGACUUCGGAAAGCACCACCCACCUUCGAUGGUUGAGAGGAUGCUACGGUUCAAUUCUCGAGAUUUUAGGGCGUCUACUCUCACGCCUGCGGCAAAACAAAGCCAAAUUAGGCUUUUUCUCAAUAACUUUAUCUAGACCUUUUCGUAACGUCAAACGGAGUUGUCCCACGCGUCGAAAAUAUCCCUAAUUAGGUUUCUAUAAGGUUAAUUUGUCUUAGAAACUCCCUAGGACAAAAACUCUAAAUUUGGUGCCCUAAUGUCGCCAUUUGUAAAAUCUUAGGUUUCGAUCUCGAAAACAAGCAAAAGAGAGCUUGCCUAACCUCUAGAAGUUCAUUUAGAACCAUCCAAACCAUUUCUAGGGCAUAUAAAGUAAUCCCUAGAAAUCCACCAUUAGAGCACUUUGAAGAAACUAGGGUUUCAUGUGUUCUAUAGCUCCAACUAUAUUUCUAUACUCAUUAGAAGAUCAAAACCUAGUUUUCUAGGACAUAAACCCAAACCCUAGCCUAGGUUUUCAUGAAAACCUCACCUUGGUCCAAAGCUCGCCAAGAUCCUUCUUGUUGGAGAGAUCCGAAACCCUCAAAAUCUCCAAAUCCGCCUUCAAAAGCCUCCUCUACUCCUUCUCCUUGCUCUUUGGGGAGAGUUCUAGAGAGAGAAAGAGAGAAAUGAGAGGGAGGGUGUAAAUGGCUGUGGGAGAGAGAGGGGAGAGGUGUUAGGUUAUUAACAUGUUGUAACAAUUACAACAAAACCCUCCAAACAAUUGUAUUUGCAGCAGUUUCAUUUUGCUGUCUGACCCAAAGUAUACCGGUACACGGGAUUUUGUACCGGUACAUUUCCUGCGCAGAGGCAACCCGAGAGCAAGUUUCUCGGUUUCGUAGCAUUUGUACCGGUACACUUUCAAAGUGUACCGGUACACUUCUAUUUUUUUUUUCUCAAACCCGAGAACUAUUUCUUCUCGGUUUGCAGGGCUGUACCGGUGACAACUCGAUGGUUGUACCGGUACACUUUGCCCAGAAUGCUAUAUUUGCGCCGUUUUCAAUUCUAUGUCGCGUCGGUCGAUGCUAAAACCUUUCUAACACCUUUUAACUCAUUUUUAACCCUUCCAAUAUUGUUGUAAUGCCAACUGGAGUUUGUCCAUCUAUUUCUCUCAGCACUUUAAUCCAUUUUGGCUAAAGUUCGAUGAUCUCUAUCGGGGUUUCGAUACGUUACAGUAAACACGUGUCAUUUGCAGUAUCAAUUCAGCACUUUAAUUCUGUUUUAAAUGGGCCAUUUUAUUAAGAUUUUUAGUUAUUUUUUAAUGGGAACAUGUUGAGAUAGUACACACAGAAUAAAAUGCAAGAGGAAUUUCAAUAAUUAAGUGUAUAUUUAUUUUUAAAAAAAUAUUAUGCUUAUAGUAAAUGUUUACACUCAUACAAACUAUUAAAGGUUUAAGUUAGGAUAUUAUAAAUUGGUCAAAUAUUGGUAUGAUUAUGUUUGUUUACAAAUUUUAUAUUUUGUUUAAGUUAGGAUGGCGCGUAGUAAUGUGGCUAUUGUUGUUCAUUGGAAUAGAGAAAUAUUUGCGCAUGAUAACAAUACAAAGUACGUUGGCGGUCGUAAGAAAUUAAGUGGUAUUUCAGUGGAUAUUACAUUUAUAGAAUUCGAGAGAAAAAUAUAUAGAUUAACCGAUACUCCGAGAGAUGAGUAUCGUCUAAUUAUCAAAGUCCGAUAUUCGACCGGGAUAAAUCAAUUCGAUGUGCUUGAAAUUACGGACGAUGACUCAUUUUGUGGUGCGAUGGCAUUGUCGGGAAACCCUCCGUGUUUGAUAAUUUUCGUUGAAAAAUAGAUGAUUUUAUCUCAGGGGUAUUAUUCUAGAAUGUUAAACAGUGACUUUAAUGUGAAUGUAUUAUCCCCUGACCCCGAAAGAGAACAUUAUCGUGCUGAUAUCGGAGGAGAAGCAAAUGCACCUACGUUAGUAUUGCAAAAUACGAAUUUUGUAUAAUUAUUUUAAUAUAACAAAUAUUUAUAUUGCCUUCUUCCAUCAUUUGUAGAGAGUACGAAUUUUCAAAUAUAGUUGUUUGUGAUCCUCCUCCCCUCCCGCAUACUAUUCAUCAUGCCACGGCUUCUAGUUCUCAUGCCCCACUGGGUAGAGAGCAAGGCGUCUCAUGUGAAGAAGGGUUAAAAUACGCUAGAAUUAAUUUAAUCAUUCACUGUUUUAUUUAGUUAGAAAGUAACUAAUUACGAAAUAAUUGCAGAUUUCAUACCUCUCAUGAUAUGCAUGACUUUGGAUCGUAUCCAAUGGGAACCAAAAAUGACGGUAUAGGAAAUCGAGCGGAAGUGCAACAAGUAGUAGCUGAAGAUGGUUACGCUACUGAUCAUGAGGGUGUUGAACAUGAACCUUCAAAUUUGGUCGUAAAUGAGAACAUUGUGGUGGAAGGUGAUCACUAUGAUGCAGAUCAUGAUGGCGGACUGGGGGUCCUCGCAUAUAUCAUAUAUACUGAGGGUGGUGAUCUAAUUGUCAAUACUGAAUAUGUUGAUGAUCUAGAUGAAGGUGCAGAGUUCAUAGAUCAUCAAGAGCAAUUUGUGGGAGAUGACAAUUGGAUUGACCAGUAUGUGGUCGAUAACGGUGAAUUUGAUCAUCCGCAAAUUAAACAGCCCCCUCCUACCAUUGAUGACUUAUGGUUGGUCGGGUAUUUCGUGAUAAAUCAAGUUUAUUGCACACUCUUGGGGAGUGGUAUAUUGCUCACAGCGUGCAAAUGAAAGUAAUAAAGUCGACGACAAAGGCGUAUACAGUUAAAUGCAUGGUAGAUUCAUGUCAUUGGAGAUUACAUGCAUCGGUACCAAAGGAUGUAAGUUAUUUUAGAGUUAAAACAUAUGCUUGGCAACAUACAUGUUUAGUGCCGAUGCUUAACACUGCAUAUCGAAACUGUGCUUCAUCUCUUAUAUGUCGACAUAUUCUCCCAUCAUUGAGGGUAAAGCUUAGUUUGACACCGGCGGAAAUUAAAGAAAAGGUGCGCAAUGAAUUGCUUGUAGACAUACCUUAUUCGAAAGCGUGGCAGGCUAGAAGUAAAGCACUACAGAUCAUUUAUGGUGGUUGGAAGGAGUCAUACACCGAUCUUGAUCGCUUCCUAUCUAUACUAUAGCGCGUGAAUCCCAAGACUCAAUGGCGUCUUGAUCCUAAAAUCCUGCCAAAUAGCGUUAGGCAGUUUGGACGAGAAUUUUGGGCAUUCAGGCCGUUAAUUAAUGGGUUUUCUUAUUGUCGACCAUUGUUGAGCAUUGAUGGAACUCAUAUGUAUGGAAAGUAUCAAGGGCAUGCGUUGAUUGUGACGGGUGUAGAUGCUAAUAAUGGGUUAUACCCAUUAGCGUUUGCUAUUUGUGAGGGAGAAAAUGCGGCUAGUUGGCGUUGGUUUUUACAACAUUUAAAGGUUUUAGUGACACGUGAUCGAUCUAUUUAUUUAUUUUCAGACCGCUUUCCUAGGUUAAAGGAGAUUGUUGCGGAGGAGUUUCCGAGAAGCGAGGGACAUACUCACCGUUGGUGCCUCCGCCAUAUGAAGGCUAACAUGAAAAAAGCCGGUUUCAAAAAUGAAAAUGUGCUCAAUAAAUUUUAUACAGGCAUAGAAUGUGCUGCAACUGUAAGGGAAUAUUAUGAGCAUAAGGAUCAAUUGAAAGAAAUAGAUCCGGCGGCAUGGCUUUGGGUGCACGAGCUCCAAGGGGAAAGGGAAUAUUGGGCAAGAGCUUUUGAUAAAGGGCAGCGUUUUGGGACAAUGACGACAAAUCGGUCGGAGAGUUUAAAUGGAGUGCUUAAAGGUGUAUGUGGUUUACCUAUCACAACAUUUGUGGCUGCUACAUUUUAUAAGGUGAACAAUUAUUUUGUUAAGCGCCGUGAUAAAGGUGAGACAUAAACAGGAGGCUUUAAUUAAGAGUUGUAUGAUAAUCGCAAGAGGACACCGUGUAGAUCGUUUCUGAGUAAACUAGUUUCAAAUUACUACCGGAAAUGGACAAUUUGAGGUAGUUCUUGACGGGAGAAGCUCGACUUGUUCAUGCCAUGAGUUUGAGCUCACUAGGUUGCCAUGCUCACAUCUUCUAGCUGUAUGCAGUAAUGGUCAAAUGAACAUUGACUACUAUAGUCUGUAUUCUGAAUGGUAUACAUGUGAGUAUUACCGUGGUGCUUACUUCCUGCAAUUUCACCCUGUCCCAGAAAAAAGAAGAUGGCCACGCCCUCAAGGACCACCGCUGGCACCACCACCUAUUAGGAGAAAGAAAGGCCGUCCGAGAUCAACUCGUAUUCAAAAUGCCAUAGACGAGAGAGAAGGAAUGCGAAGAACUAUGUGCUCUAUUUGUAAACAACAGGGACAUUAUACGGCUACAUGUCCGAAUAAUCAAGAUAGAACAAAUGAAGGCCGUAGACGUAGAGCUUUAGGUUGAUGACUUAUGUUGACUAUCUACAGUAUUUUUAUUUCUAGAUUUAUUUUUUAACGUUCAAUUAAUAGUCACUAAUUUGUAUACUUUAUUUUGCAGAUGGACGAUCACGAGGAUCCCCGUCUAGUUGAUCCAUCAGUUCUAUCAGAUCAAGCUAGGCAUCAGUCGAGCUAUGUGCGAUCGAUCAGAGGUAUGUUAAGUUAUGCACGUACAAAAAAGUUUGUAAUUUAAAUACUUAAAAGAGAAAUUUUCUAAAAAGUGAAUAAACUUUACAGGGGUACGCGCCAAUUCAGUUUACGAAGCAUGACCGUAAACUGAUCACAUAGACAGUCGAACAUCCGGGAGUGAUACAGUACUUACUACGUCUCCCGCCUUAGACGAGUACAGCUAGAUCAGGCUCUGUUAGGGGCGUUGAUAAAGUGAUGGAGGCGCGAGACGCAUACAUUCCACCUACGUCACGGAGAGAUGACAGUUACGCUACGUGACGUGGCCAUUCUAGCUGGACUACGAGUUUCCGGGGAGCCUGUUACAGGACGUUUUUCAUUUGAUUUGUUGCAUACAUGUGAGCUCCUUCUUGGGAUACAGCCAGACGAUGUCGUCGCCAGCCAGAUCCGCUUGAAGUGGUUGUUUCAACAUUUCCGGCAUAUUCCUUUGGAUGCUCUGGCGGCCGUGGUUGCAGCAUCUGCACGAGCAUAUAUUUUAUUUCAAAUUGGAUGCAGUUUGUUUCCUAACCCCACUGGAUAUCGCGUUCACCUCAAGUCGCUACCGCUACUUGAGGAUUUUGACUUCUGCGGAGGCCUAGCUUGGGGCGCAGCUAGCUUGGCCCAUCUCUAUCGGACAUUAGGGAAUGCCUCUAUGAAGGGAAGGGCCGAGUGUUGUGCCUUUGGUACACUACUACAGGUCAAAUCACUAUAACUUAGUUUCUUUUACUAAUUUUAUAGUUAACUCUUUUUGUUCAUGUAUAUAGACAUGAGACCAUAUACAUAUUGGACGUCCCGAUCGAGUUAGAGCUCCACCGAAUCUCCAUGAUUGUCCAUUGGGUUGUCGAUAUGCUAUGUGUUUAAAAUAUAAUAUAAUAAAAUAAUAAAUAUUGAUAUUGUAUUGAUGUAUUAUAAAAUAAUAAAAUAUACUAUUAAUUACUUCUGCAGGUAGAACAUGGGAUUGCGAUUUCGUGGAAAUGUCAGAGCGACUGACAUUGAGUUUUAUCGCGACGAGCUGGAUCAGCAGAAAGAGUCAUAAGUACGUAUAGAUUUUAUAAAUUAAAUAAAUGCACAAACAUUCUAAAAUUUUACAUUCAUUUUUUUUAAUACACUUGUACAGGUUACAUGGAUGCCCUAUACGGAGGAUGUUUUGAACCGUCUUCUUGCAUUUUGUCUUGAGGGCUCUUCAAUCUGGCGUUCGAGAACUUGUUUGAUAUGCUAUCAUAUUGUCGAGCUGCACUUACCUGAUAGAGUUCUGCGGCAAGUUGGAUUGCUGCAGCAUAUACCGGAGCCUGUAAAAGCUAUACAGAGGAUCACCUUACAGGGUAGAUCAGGCGAGGACUGGGCAGCGUUUCAUGCUCCAUAUAUUUAGCGUUGGGCAGAUCGUCUGGAGCAUAUUGCGGAGCAGAAUCCUUUCAUCGAUCCAGAUCUGAUAUGAGCUACCUCUGUGUACGUGCAGUGGUAUUGGGGGAUCACAAGGAGGUGGAUUUCUCGUCCUGUACAGCGGCCUCCACUUACUUUUCUGCCGCGUGGGAAUGUCGAGCGACUAUGGGUAAGAUUAUUUUAUUUUAUAAUUUAUUUUAAUAUGAAGAUAUUCAUUAUAUAUUAUCAUGUAUGUUUAUACAGGUGUAUGCUGUAGUGUCCCGGGGGUUUUGUAUCACAUUGGCUACAGUAUUAGCGACUGAUCGACACAUCUGGAGAGUGUCGAACUGAAUCAAAGUCAUUUUUGCACAAAAUGGAUGCAGAAACGGACUUGGCGCACUCAAAUAAGCAAAACUGGUGUUUUGCCAGUUUCUGAUUUGGGUCACCCGGAUCUUGAGUGCUGAACUGAACGGAAACUCGAAGCCAAUUCGGACCCUGUUUUCGGGUGCCCGGAAGUGGGGCCCGAAUGUUCACCUUGUGAUUAACGUUUGCUUUGACACGUGUAAGGUGGUAGGUGGGGUACGCCGGACCACGUUAAGGGCACAUCAUACCGCAGGCGAAGGAACCAAAGAAGGAGUUUUGUAUUGAUUGGGAGUUUCGGACGCCCCAAAAGUGCAGAUUUCUGUAGGGACAACAAGUUUGUACUUCUUGUUCUUAGGGUUUAUUGUACCCUUCCACCUCUCUAUAAAAGGAUGUGGUCAACCCCCUGAGAUGGUUUUUCACCUUCCUUCACAGUAAAGCCUGGAUUUUGCACCAAAGUCCCUCUAAACUCUCCAAAUUGCACAAUUCCACCUUGAGGACCGCAGUUCCAGCAGAAUUCCAGCAGCGACCUUCGGCGUUUUGGCUCGUGACGUAGGAGAAUCCGAUUGUUGCGAAACUUGGUUUGGUAGUUAGUAGACUUCUCGAAAAUUUCGUGAAGCUAAUUUGAUAGCAAUUGGUUGAGGUUAGUUUGGUUAAAUUGAUGUUUUUCUGAGCUGCUGGUGUAUUUGAGCUGAAAUUGGAGAUUUUAUGGUUUUCUUGGAUCAAAUCUUGGAGGAAGCUGGAAUUCAGACCAAAGGAUGUUGCUCCAUCAUUCUCUACUGGUUUUGGGACUUUUCUUCAUCUGAAUUGUGGAUUGGAAUGUGAGUUUGACAUUGAGGUUUUGGAAGAAUUAAGCUUAAGUGCUGAAUUUGAGUGUAUUGUUGAAACCUUGGUGUUUUGUGUUUAGAUCUUUCGAGAAGGUCGUUGCUGGUUUGAGGCUGAUCUUGGCAGAGCUUCUUCCAGCGACUUCUCGCCUUGUUGGACUCGCGCUAGAGGUGGGUUGAAGUUUACCGGAUUCUUCGGAUUUCUUCGAUCCUAUGCCUAGAUGUUGUUAGCAUGUGUUUUUUUAGCUUCAUAUAUCAUGUUAGUAGCUCGGUUCAUAGAUUUGCAUUGUUAUUAAAUGAAAUCUGAAUUGGAGCUUGAUAUGCUAGUUUUAUUAUACAUGUUGGAUUUGGAAUUGACUUAGGAGAAAACUAUAAGUUCUACACUGUUAUUUUAUGAAAACUACCAGAUUUAGCUUUAGGAGCUAUAGUUUGUUUGUAUCGCUGCAGUUUGUAGGCGGUGGAUACCCAAAAUAGUGUAGAAUGAAAUUACACUUGUGCUGGGAUGCUGAGAUUAUUUUUUACAGUAGUGUAUAUAUUGUUCCAGACUGUCGAGUGCCGUUGUGGUUGACCGUGGAUCCAGAUUCAUAUUUUUGCAUCAGAUUGUGCCAAGGGCAUAUUUUUUAUGGUUGUUAGACCAGUUAGACCCUUCUAUUUUGAUUACAGCCUGUGAGAGCCUGAUUGAGCUCGGCAGAAAUACGCUUGCAUACUCGGUUGGGUAGCGCCCACGAGUGCCACUCCGGAGUUGGACUUUGUGCUUUUGCAUUGUUGUUGGUUUGUCCUGGUUGGACUUGCUCUCCACUGACGACCCAGCGUGGUGAUAGUUAGUAUAGUUUCGGCAGGCGGGACGGGUGUAUUCAUAGUCCCUAAUGAGAUUGGGCCAGAGAUUGUAUUUUUUCUACAGAUAGUUAGUAUUAGAUCGUGAUAGUAUAGUGGCAUAUAGCUGUAGAGUGUUCCAGCUUUCCUUACUAUCCUUGAGCAUACUUCUGUAAACUUAGUGGGUGAGUCGUUGAGGUCGGUAGCGGUACCCCUUUUGUAGAACCUUCUUCUACGGCUGCUGCUACUGCUGAUCUUGAUCGUGGAAAGGGAGUCGCGAUUAGAUCCCUUCCCAUUUUGUUGCUAAUCUAGAGAUAUACCAGCUACAGGUAGUAUUGAUUUUUUUGGUUCUUAUACACACUGAUGUUAAAUCCUCACUGGAGCAAGUGUUUUUGUAUAUGGAGACUAUGUAUGUAUGUUGAAUCGAUGUUAUUUAUAUAUAUUUUCCUGUUUAACAGCUCUAUACUACUGGUUGUAGUAUUGUAUCUUUACAGGUACAUCUACAGCUAUCGCUUCGUAUACAGGAAAAAUUUCUGUGUAUACGGCGAGUCUGUUAGCGUGCCCGGGGAAAUGAGUAAUCCGGGGCGUGACAUAUACUAUGCGGCAUGCUGUUAGCAGUAUUAGUCAUUUGAUGGAUGAUCCUCCGGAUGCUACUAGAAUGAUGGAUGCUCUAGCACAUGUGAUGUGGGAUCUCGAGAGUGUGUUAGAGAGCCUUCCGACAAUACCCGUGACAGGGCAUCCGGAUGUUUCUUCUCCGACUUUUGGUGAUUACAGUGAUAUUCUCUCCACCUCCACGCCUGCAAAUGAUUUCGGUGAUAUUCCCUCCACCUCCGCACCUGCAUAUGAUUUCGGUGAUAUUCCCUCCACCUCGAUGCCUCCAUCGACAUCCGUCCCAAUUCAUCCAUCUGAUGUCCUUUCGAUUUCUGAUGUCCCUUCGACAUCGGAAGUGCAGUUUGAUAUUCCAUCGGCAUCCAUCCCUCCAUUUGAUAUUCUAUCUACGUCAAAGGUAUUCUAUUUUGAUAUUCCAUUCACGUCUAUUCAUCUUUCUAACGUUCCAUCCAUGUCGCAGGUUCGUCACGAUGAUGUUGUAUAUCGACGUAGACGACGACGACAGGGUCAUAUUGAGACGCAGGAAGGGAUACUACCAUCAGCUGUUGAGCAAAGGAUGGAGCCGAUUGUCGAGGGCAUCGCCAUCGAGCAUAUUGAUCUGAUGCAUGUCAUUGAGCCCAUGCAGCUUGAGAUGGAGCAUGACAUACAUAUUCGAGGACGAAGUCGAGGACGCGGUCGUGGACGCGGACGUGGACGUGACAGGGGACGAGGGCGAGAGCAUAGGAGAGGGAUGGAGGGGACUUGAUUUUUUUUUUAUCAUUUUUGGGAUUCUUAUGUAUAUUUGAUAUUUCAGAUCUUUCUACAUUGAUUUUUUAUAGUAUUAUUUAAAUUUAUUCAUAUUGAAAUGUGUUGAUAUUGGUAUAGCUCAUUUUAUAUGCUUAAAGUGUGGCUGAAGUUGGUAUAGAUGAUUUUAUGUAUUUAUUGCUGUAAUUGAAAUGCUUGAGAAUAUUGCUAUUUUGUAUAAUGUGGGAAUUUUGCAAAGUUGUUACUGCUUGGUGUGGCAUUACUUAAAUACGGUGAACCAUUUAUCGCAUAAAAAUGCAGUGAAUGGCUCACCGCUUUUAUAUGCGGUGAACAAUUCACCGCAUUUAUGAGUUUUCUCGACAGGUAGGGGAACAACAUAAAGGCGAUGAAUGGUUCACCACCUUCAUAGGAUUUUUAAAUCCUUAUGAAAGCGGUGAACCAUUCACCGCUUUCAAGUGAAAGCGGUAAAUGGUUCACCGCUUUUAUCCUCUCCCGCCAGCUCACUGCCCACAUGGCAGUUUUGAGCCUAUUUUCGCAAAUACAAAUUUUAGAGGCCUAUUUUUAAAAUAAAAGAGUUGGAGGAGACUAGUUGGGUAAAAAUCCAUAUAAAAACACCAAGCACUUUGUGCUUGUAAGUUUUCUGCCAUUAGAUCCAUCCUUUUGACUAUUUCCACCCAUUAGAUUAUACUAUUCAACCAACCACCCGCUCAACUCUAGGAGACUUUUAUCAUCUUAACCAUACAUCCCUUAAUUCAAGGGCCAAAAAUAUCGAAAAAUUACAAAAUUUAUUUUCUAGGUAUUUUAAAUAUUCUAGAUCAAUUCCAACGGAGCCGAUUGUCGAUUCGAAAGUCCCAACAUCGAAAACAAUUUGGAAGCACAAAAUGCUCCAUACUUCUAAAAGCAUACUAACCUUACUCCCUAUAUAUAUGAUUUAGUAAAUAGUUUUAUGUAAAUGUGUAAAAAAAAAAUAUUAACAUUUGGUUUUCUAUUUGAUUCAGUUAAAAAAUGUGUUCAAAUCGAACCGAAAUAGAAAAUCAAAUCGAAAAUCAUAUAAACCAAACCAAAUGGCCUCAUUCGGUUUGGCUCGGUUUGGGACCAAACCUUGUACACCCCUAUCGAUGAUCCCACCACUAUCUCUAACAUUUUUGGGGGAGAAAAUAUACUAUGGAGCAACUGCAUCACAUCAUCUAUAAUCAACCAAUCAUAUUUUUUUCUUUUAAAAACGUAAAAAAUAUUUUUUUAUAAAUCAUGAUGGGGCGAAUGAACUUCAGAGAAGCAAUUUGAUUGACUGGAAAUAUUAUAUCAAUAAUAUAACUUUUGCACUCUAGAUUUUUUUUUCAUCUUGAGCGGCUACAUCUGCAACAGAUCUACAAACUCUUUAGAAUCCAAUUUGUUUCUGCUUUUAUUCUAUUUGUGUUUCCUUGCUUCCCUCACUUGCGUACCUUGUGCAUAUCCCGACCACAAAUCUUGACCCUUUUUUGUACACGUGAGACUAGAUACUCGCAGCCUUUCAAGUCCAGCCCACCUAAAAAGCAUUCUAUUGGCUUCAAGAUAUAUUUACAUCUUCACUAUUUCAAUUUGGAAUUCUACAAUCUUAUGCGCACACCACCUCAUUCCCUAUCUGAAACAUUUUAUCGAAAAUAAUUUUACAAAUAAAUAUUGGUCAAAUGUAAAAAGAACAUGCCAAAUUCAGCAUCCAGCCAAUUUUGAAAGUUGUGUUGUUAGUCAGCAAAUACAACAAAUAAGAGUCGUUUGCAUAUAAGUAUUUCACCGAUGUUGUCACUGACAUCUUCUCGUUCUAAUUCACAAUAGUUUUCUUCUCGAUUAACAUAACGAUAAAAGAUAAAAUUCAAGUAUGACAAAAAAAAAUACUAAAUAUAUUAGUGAAAUGCAAUUUACUAAGCAGUAACUUCUUUCCUUUGUCUGAAGAGUUUCAAUCCAACCUCCUUUUUAAUUUUUAUAAAUCUCUCUAUUUUUUACGUCCGAGAGAACACUGUUCUAAUUUUUCUCUCUCACUUUGUACAACAAUAUAUUAGAAGUAGACAACAUUUGGAUCAACCGACUAUCCCUAACGCAAGUUGUUAUCUGAUAUUCCAAAUUUUGAAACUUACUUUUUUGAUAGUUUUAGCUAAAUUUAUUUUUUUAAAAAAAACAAACAAAAUAAAUAGUAUGCUACUAUUGUACAGAGAGCCAUACAUAGAGAGAUUCACCCAAUUAACUGGCUUAACAACAUAGAAAGCCCCUCUUAACGGGCCAAAAUUGUCCAUAAUUAACCAUACAACUCCUACAAUAUUUAAUUAGUUUUCCUCAUGUAAUAAAAAUACUUAAAUGUGUUGUAAUUUAAUUAAUAUUUUAUUACAACAUAUUAAUCUUGUGAAAAGUUUAAUUUGGUCUAAAAAUUAAUUAUUUCAUAAUUAACUAUAGUACUAAAAUAAUAAUUAAAUAUUAUAAUAUCAUGCCGAUGUUAUUAGUUCAACCUUGUUGAUCCUUGAGCUUACACUACUACAGAUACAAGAUUUAGUGGCGACAAAUGUCGCCACCAAUUAAAGGCCAAAUUGUCGCCACGAAAAACGUUUUGGCGCCGACAAUUGAUCGCCGCAUGCCGCCGCCUAAAGCCCCGUCGGUAAAACUAUUUGGUGGCGACAAAAUGUCGCCGCUAAAAGUUAGAUAAUAGCGACGACAUAGUGUCGCCGCGACAAAAUAGAGAAUUAGUGGCGACAUGGCGUCGCCGCAAAAAGUUAGCUAAUUACUGGCGACAUUCUGUCGCCGCGAAAUAUUUGGUGGCAACAAUUUAUCGCCGCGAAAAGUUAGAUAAUUAAUGGCGACAUUCUGUCGCCGCUAAAAGUUAGUUAAUUAGCGCCGGCCUAGUUAUAUGGUGGCGACUAUUGUCGCCACUAUUUUUCUGGUCUAAAAUUAUUUUUUNGCCACCAUUGUUUAUGUAUUGGCGGCGACAUUUACUUGUCGCCACCAUUGUUUACGUAUUGGCGGCGACAUUUAUUUGUCGCCACCAUUCUUUAUGUAUUGGCGGCGACAUUUACUUGUCGCCACCAUUGUUUACGUAUUGGCGGCGACAUUUAUUUGUCGCCACCAUUGUUUACGUAUUGGCGGCGACAUUUGUUUGUCGCCACCAUAUCUUCUACAUAGGUGGCGACAUUACUUGUCACCACAAAAAAGUCGCCACCAAAACACGUUCUUCUUGUAGUGGAAUUAGUAUCAUUCUUGUCAACUAGUGACUGACCCUUGAGCUAGUAUCAAUUUUGGAUUGCUGCCGGAUUUUAAAAUAUUGUAUAAUCUUUCACUCAAUAUUCGAUGUUGUUUGGAUGUUCGAGAAUAUCUUAUUUAGUAGAGAAAUAUUCAAAUCUGAGAGUGAGGAGUUAAUUUUUGCUCCUCAAAAAAAAAUUAUUAUUUAUAAAUAUUGUUGAAAGUCAAGCUUUUUUUUUUUUUUUCCUCACCUACUAAGCUGGAAUUUUUCUUUCUUUACUAAUUUUGUUUCCUUAUUAUUUUGUUUUCAUGUACAACUGUUAAUUUAGGACUUUAUAGCUAAAUCUUUCAUGAUUAUAAGAUGAUUGAUUCGAUUAAUUGAUCAAUUUUCUCAUCUUGCCAUGUAAGAGAGAUUCUGUUCCAGAAUUCUCUCACCUUUGUAAUCUAUUUAAAUCUUUUUUUUUUAAUAUUGAAUAAGAUGAAAAAUACACAGAAGAAUAACUGCAUGUGGUUCUUCAUUCUUCCUUCAAACUUCUUCAUGGUAUCAGAGCAGGUUUAAUCCUGUCCCGUCUGUCCUCAUCAUACCCAUGUUGCUAUUACCACUCACAAAUUAAAUGGACAAAAUUACCUACAAUGGUCUCAAUCCAUCUUAAUGAUCAUUCGGGGAAAGGAGAAAGAUGACUAUCUCACCGGCACUUCAGCAGCCCCAGAAACGGCGGCUCCAAGCUACAAGAAGUGGAUGGCAGAAAACAACAUGGUCAUGUCAUGGCUAGUCAACUCAAUGACGCCAGACAUUGGCGAGUAUUUUCUGUCUGUCGAAACUGCUAAGGAGAUCUGGGAUGCAGUUAAGGAGACUUUCUCAUACGCUAAGAACACUUCGGAGGUGGUAGAGAUUGAAGGGAUCCUUCACGAUCUACGACAAGGCGAUCUCACGCUAACUCAAUAUUUUAAUAUUCUCACUCACAAUUGGCGUCAACUUGAUACAUAUGAGGUUCAUAAGUGGUCAUGUACUACUGAUGCAUCAUUAUACAAAUAGAUUGUAGAGAAAAAACGUGUUUACAAGUUUUUGCUAGGUUUGAAUAAAAAUCUUGAUGAGGUCCUUGGGAGACUUAUGGAGUAAAGCCAUCACCAAGUCUCAGAGAAGCUUUCUCUGAAGUUCGAUGAGAAGAAAGCAGGAAAAUGAUCAUGAUGGGGCCAUCCCAACAUCUGAAUAUAGUUGAAAACUCUAUGCUUGUCACUCUGAAAACUCAAUUUGCCUCUUCAGAUAAUUGCCAGAAGAAUAAAGGAAGGCUUUGGUGUGAUUAUUGUAGGAAACCGGGGCAUUCUAGGGAUACCUGCUGGAAAUUACAUGGGGAAAUUACAUGGAAAACCGGCUACUUGGAAGCCUGCUCGUCAUUUCGAGAAAGAAGGUCGAGGAAAUCAUGUCAAUACCGAGGAGCAAUCAAAACCUGAAGCAAGCCUUUUUAAUAAGGAGCAAAUGGAGAUGCUUCAAAAGUUAAUAUCUAAUCGAUCUUCAGUCAACACCGUCACAAACCGAAUCAUCUUCCAAUCAUGUCAUUGGUUUCAGAACCUUGGCCCACAAAGGUAAUUUUUUGAGUGCCUUUACUAUGACUAAAAAAGAAAAAACUUGGAUUGUCGACUCAAGAGCAUCUUAUCACAUGACGGGAGAUGCAACGAUGUUCGAUACAUACAACCCAUGUCACAAUGACUUAAAAGUUCGGAUAGCAGAUGGCUGACUAUCCAAUGUUAUUGGUACAGGUUCCGUUGUGCUAUUAAAGGAUCUCACUCUCAACUCUAUUCUCUUUGUUCCUAAAUUGGAUUGUAACCUAUUGUCAAUUAGUAAACUCACUAAGGAAAAAAGUUGUGUUACUAAUUUUUCCUCCGCCCACUGUGAAUUUCAGGAUUUGGCUUCGGGGAAGACGAUUGGCAAUGCUGAGGAAUGCUCUGGACUCUACAUCCUUAAGAAGUCUCACUAUCCACAAGAACAACCUCAAAAGGCAGUUAGUGGUGGCUCUUUCUUUGUUUCUUGUCAAAAUAAAAAUAGUGCAAUCAUGUUAUGGCACUAUCGCUUAGGUCAUCCAAACUUUAUGUAUCUAAGGCAUUUAUUUCCAUCUUUAUUCAGUAAAAAUGCAAAAUUCUUUUAGUGUGAAAUCUGUCAAUUAUCAAAACAUGUUCGGUCUCAUUUUCCUCCUCAUCCCUACAAAGCCUCUAGUCCUUUCUCAAUGAUCCAUAGUGAUAUUUGGGGCCCUUCAAAAAUAAAAAAUAUAACAGGUGCAAGGUGGUUUGUAACACACUGAACUGUAGCAAAUUGUGAGGUUCGAGUGUUUAAUCUGUGUUCUGAGCUUUCCCAGGUUUUCUGGAGAGUCGUUGACUGUGUUCCGACCUAUGACACGCAUCCCGAGGAGCGGGGAUGAGAACUUAGCACCAAAAUCUCUAAAUUGUAGAUUUUGGGAUGCUCUCGGUUUGAGCUCUGCAGGGCAGAGUACCGGUACUACAUUACCCGAGUACCGGUACUGGACUUGGUACCGGUACGGCAUCGCGAGGGUACCGAUACCCUGUGUGUUUACUCGCUUGACGGAGGCUUGGGUUUGCCCGUGCUGCUGCCUGGUAUCGGUACUCCAGCCCGCGUACCGGUACGCAGUGCAGAUGCAAACUGCACAUUGUUGAGGGGUGUUUUUGGAAAUGUUACAACUCUAUAUAUCUCCUCCACAGCCCAUGAGAGCUCUUUUGAUCCCUAAACCGUGGAGAAGCAAGGUAGAGCGCCCCUCUCUUGAUUUUCUCUCUUUUCUUGAGGAUUUAGCUUAGUUGAUCUCCUCUCUUUGCUCCUUUUGCUUAAUGUUGGAUUUCCCACCAUUGGAGAAGCCUUGGAGUUAUGCUUGAAGCUAUUUGGAGGAAAGGUCUUCAACCCUAGCCCACUCCUAACUUGGUUUGAAGCUUUUUGAGAGGUUAGUAACCAUGAUCUCCCCUUUGGAUCACAUUUUAGGGGAUUUUUGUGAUGAAAACCUAGAAUGAGAAAUCUAGAGUUUUAUUUGGGAGUUUUUGAUUUGUAGCUUUUAGGGCUUAAUUGAUAGAUGUAGAACCUUCUUCUAGGGUGGAAUAGAAGUGCUCUAGCUCUCAUUUGGAUUUUGGGAGGGUUUUCUACCACCAAGGUGAGUUUUAGCCUCUUCUUUCGGUUCGAUAAAGAUUAGCUUAUGGGGUGUUCGUUCAUUGCCCCUAACCCUCUUAGAAUUUUUUCUAGGGAGCUAGGAGACUAGUGGACAUCCUCGUUCGCGCAAACGAAGGGGGUUCGAGGAGUUCUCGAUGGGUUUGACCUCACCGAAAUGGGUGAACUCCCCCUAUGUUAUCUUUUAAAUUUUAAAAAUGGCAAAUCAUGCAUAUUCAUACUAGAUAGAGCAUAAUGAAAUUUUAGAAUGCUUAAAAUGCAUAUGUUAUGUAUCAUGUUGUAUGACCCCUAUGUAGUAGGAAGAAAAUUGCAUAGUAAAUUGCAUGUGAAAUGGUAUUCUUAUGAUGUGUUGGAAAUCAUGUUAUACUUAGUGAUAUGACAAGCUUUUAUUUGCUUAUGAACAUUGGACAUGUACUAAACAUAUGAAAUAUAUAUACUGUCAUAAAGUGGCAUUGGAUUUGGAACAUGUAUUAACUUAGUAAAAUAUAAUGUCAUAAAGUGAUAUUAGACUUAGUAAACGGUUAAACCUUUUUAUUGUGACAUAGAAUUAUACCUUUCGGUUGCUAGUGUUUAUACCAUGUUGGAGACAUGAUGACCGUGUACUUGAGAUGAUGAUCAUACUUUCUUGCCAUUUGUGCUCAUUCGCACAUGCUUGUGAGGGUCGCUCCCCACAAACCGGCACUCCGGAGUUGGCCUACGCGACAUAUGCUCGCCGUGCGGGAUUGGGCGCCGAAGUGGAUUGCCGUGGGGGAGGCUCAUUCCUAGAGUGGGGAUGCUGGAGCUACCACUGGCACUUAGGCGACACAAGCCGGACUACACUUGUGUAGGUCCUAGAUUGGAAUUGAAAAAUGACAUGUAAACAACUAUAUGACAAUUACUACUUAAUAGUAGGUAUUGGUUGGACAUAAUAGUACACUUGUUGGAUUUAGUAGUAUACUUGUUGAUCACAUUUGGUGCAUAUUCGUAUACAUGUGGACAUGUUUAGAGUAUACUAGUAUACUCAUUAGAUAUACUCGAUCAUGAUGGAUUAGUAGUAGUACAUGUUUAACAUCAUGCUAAAAUGAGGCAUAGUAGCUUAGCAAAAUAAUAUUGUCAAAUAUACUUGUUGUUUACUUCCAUUAAACGUUAAUUUACACUACUCUUGCCUCUAUAGACUAGUGGUGUAUUUCGCUGAUGUCGGCAGCUUACCCACUGGGAACUAUUAAUUAAUAGUUCUUACACCCCCUGUUUUGUUGUUUUUGUUUACAGAGCCAUCCACUCCGGCAGAGGCUAGGGACCGUGGCAAGGGUGUCGCCACUAGCUAGUUAGCGAGGAGCCUUGCUAUUAGGUGGUCUAUCUCUUUUUUGUUUUAGUUUGAGAGAGAGAGUUUUGUACCUAUGUAUAGAGACCACCAUUUUUGUACCUAUUACCUCGUAUUUGGGAUAUUGUGUUGUAUCUACUUUUGGAUUAUAUUACUUGUUUAGUUCCUUUAUAUUCUACUGGUCAUUAGAAUUUAGCUAUAAUCAUGCUCUGAUAUCUCUAGAUACUUGUUUAUCUCUGUUUUGUUUAUCGCUUUGUUGUAUACGCCUUAUAUGUUGUAGGCAUAUGACGGGUCUGGACACGCACCGGGCGGGCUUCCGCUGGGUCCCGGGGCGUGACAUGAUUUGUCUCAUUCAUAGAUGAUCACACUAGAUUAACUUGGGUGUUCCUCAUGAAAGAAAAAUCUGAAACAGGUCAAUUAUUCAAAAGUUAUAAAAAUAUGAUUCAGACCCAAUUCCAAAAUACAAAUCCUAAGGUCUGAUAAUGCUAGGGACUAUUUCAACUCCAUUCUAGGAGAAUUUCUUGCAAAAGAAGGAAUAGUUCACUUAAGUUCAUGUGUAGAUACUCCGCAACAAAAUGGAAUCGCUGAAAGAAAAAAUAGACACUUGCUAGAGGUAGCUAGAUCACUUAUGGUUUCAAAAAAUGUUCCAAAAAUAUUCUGGGGAGAAGCUGUACUUACAGCAACUUACCUUAUCAAUAGAAUGCCAUCUAGAGUACUAAAUUUCAGCACACCUUGUUAAACCCUCCUGAAGUCCUUUCCAAAUACUCAACUUAUUUCCACCAUUCCACCCAAAAUUUUUGGGUGCUCUGUUUUUGUUCAUCUCCAUCAGCAACAUAGAAGUAAACUUGACCCCAGGUCACUCAAGUGCAUUUUUCUUGGGUAUUCUUCAAAUCAAAAGGGGUACAAGUGUUAUUCUCUUGUCACAAAAAAAUUCUACACUUCUAUGGAUGUUGCUUUCUUUGAAAAUCAGCCUUACUAUCAAAAAACUGAUAUUCAGGGGGAGAAUUCAUGUCAAGAAUAUCAGUUUUUGGACUUUGAGUCUUUCAUUGAGCCAUCCAUCACCACAAAAAAUCACAUUCCUCUAGAUUCUCCGAGUCAACACUUAUCUGCCGACAAUACCGAGUUCAUUGUUGACAUGUAGGAUAGAGAGCCCAUUCAAGAGGAAAUGGAGAAAGGAGCACUUCCCCAACAAGUCCAUGAAGUUGAACCGAGUCCUAAUUCGAGUGAAAAUACUGGUAACAAUAUCUCUAAUUCAGAUGAUACUAUUGAUUUUGAGUUAGAAAAUGAUAUAUUGAAUAUGCCAAUAGCUUGGAGAAAGGGAGUUAGAUCUUGCACUCAGCAUCCUAUUGGAAAUUUUAUUUCCUAUGAUAAACUAUCACCAUCUUUUCGUGCCUUUACUUCUAACAUCACAAUGAUACUGGUUCCUCAUAACAUUCAGGAAGCUUUCAAGUGCCUUAAGUGGAAAGCUGCAAUCGAUGAGGAAGUCCGGGCUCUGGAAAAGAAUGGCACUUGGGAAAUUACUUGUAAUACACUGGAUCUUAGCAAAUUGCAAGAUUCGAGUGUUUGAUCUGUGUGUGGAGCCUUUCCACAGUUUUUGGAGGGUCGUUGAUAGUGUUCCGACCCCUGGCACGCACCCCGAGGGUGUUGGUUUGAGUUUUGGCACCAAGAUCCCAAAAUUGGAAUUUUUGGUCAGCCCUCGGNAAGUAGGAAGAGAAUAAGAAGAAGAGGAUGAGUAAGAGAGGGAAAAGGAUAUUAAAGAGAGAGAAAAGGAGAUUCACAAUCCGCUGUGCACUAGAGGCCAAAAUUCUCAUUCAAGGGUAGUUGAAGAGAGGUACAAUACCCCCUUGUCCUUAAUUAAGCCUACUAACAUGUUCGACCAACAUAUAAUUCCCAUUUCGGUUCUGUCUGUGACAUCAAUUUUGCGUCAAAAUAGUUCAAACUUGUCCUGACACUCAUUAGUAAAGUUGACGAGUCAUCGAAACUGUAAUUGCUCCAAUGGUUAACUUUUCAGAACACUACAGGAUAUCAAUUUACAUUAGCUAAUCUAACUUGUAUUGGGACCCAUAUCCAUAUUUAUGUAGCAUCCAGAAACACAUGAAAUAUUCUAUCUGAAUCUGUAUCCACAUCACAAACAUGGAUAAUUUUUCAAGUAUAAUACACUAGAUAUGCUCACAUUACUUCUCAAAAGCUCUUAAUUAGUUCAUGCCAUAUAUUUUCCAGCUAUACCUAAUAACCUUUUAUGUAUAUCUGAAAACAAAUAGAACAUCCGUAUUUG
rnacentral:lncRNA from 1 species